rnacentral:lncRNA from 1 species
GACCUGUCCGGAGGCAAGAAGGUCGGCAAGAAGGUGAUCAUGACGGUGCGGUACCCGGCUGCCGACUCGGGGGAGAAGGUCACCAUCUCAACCCACCUCGACGGCGAGAGCCACUUCCAUCUCGACCGCGACGACUACGAGCCGUAGGCCACUCUUUCUCUCUCUCUCUCUCUCUCCAACUCAUCGUCAUAAAGCACACACUCGACCGAGCUGUGUGGUUCUGCUUGAUUUAGUGAAUUCAUGGCUAAGCUUGCGAUCGAUCUUCACUUCUUCAGCAUCAUUUUCGCCACGAAAAACCUUGUCUCGGCCCUGGAGAAGGUAGGGGAUCCGCAUGCCAAUCUAUCCGAGGUAACGCACUUUUCGCCCCUCCCUAUUAUGCAUGCAUUCGUUCGGAUUUCAGUUUUUUUGUUUCGAAACGGAAUUCAGAUUUCAGUUUAAAGGACGUAUUGUAAACUGCUGACCUUUGCCUAAUUGUUUCUCAGCUGUAGUAGCACGUGAGCGCUCACUGCUCAGUGGUGAUUGCAAGCCCAGCCAGUGGAAACAAAUCGGAGAUGGAGCUCCUCUUUUCUUUCGUGUCAGUGUCAGGGAGAAUACAUUAGCCGCCUUUUAUUUUGUUGUAGUAGUACCGAAUGCAAGAAGCGUACCCGGAGGCCUAUUAUUUAGGCUGUAGUGAUGUGGUAUUGUACAUGUAGGGGUGCUAGAGUCUGUCUUCAAUUUCUCUGUGCGUCUCUGUGUGUCUUGGAUUCUGUCCGAGGAAGAAAAAUUUCCAUUGUUUUUCAAUUUAUUUCCGCUCAAUAUCAAUCGAACGGAGAAUCUUUAUUAUGCUUUAUAAACAGAUUAAAUACUCCGUCCGUCACGAUUUAGAAGACGUGUUUGAAAAUUCUUUAAAACCUAGGUGCUUUAAAACCUAGGUGCUCCUUCUAAUCCAAGAAAGCAAAAAGGCUCCCCUGCCCCCCCACUUGUCAAUCCAUGGAGACACUGGUGAUACGCAUCACCGCUAGCUCCAGCUUGGCCUUGCUAGCGUCCCCGUUAACGCUUGUCGUGGGGUCCCCCAUGUCGGACUUGGGACUUCGCUCCACUCCCAUCUAAAAUGCGACUCACACAGUUUAUAAUUUUAACCAACUGAGAAUCUUUCUGAUUUUUUUAUUAGCAAACCGAAAUUCAGUUGGUUAUAGACAAUAUGAAUAAACACCCCUUAAUUUAGAGUGAAACAUCUGUUUCAACUUUGUACCGACGAGUAAACACAAGCCACGUGCAUUCAACACACACUUUGACUGAGAAACCAGAAAUGAGAAUCCGGCCACCAAUACGUAUUUGUGUUGAGGCAGUUGAGGCAGACGCUCCAUGCAUGCAUGAGUUGAUCGAUCACACCAAAGAUGAAGCUAGUAGCACGGUGACUCGUGCAUGAUCACUCUGUGCAAGGCAUAUGCUGUUUUGGAUCAUCUAUGUCUGCUUGAACAUCAUUUACACAUGACACUUCAAAACAUUCCAAGAUCAUUUACACAUUAUUCUGUUCAAUGUGCACAUCACACAGGGAGUAGCAUUUUAUGUUAAAUAUAUCAAACAUCAUAAUUUUCCAAUUUUAGUUAAGCGGAUGUUAAAUCACGUCAGAAGCGAUAAUGAACAUAACUCCAUGAAAGAAAUAUGAAAUCAGUAUAUAACAAAGUAGAAGGUGUACAUGAAAAAAGAAGAGUAUUUAACCAAAAACUACCACAUUUCGUGGAACCGUGUCUACAAACUACAACUUUACGAUUUUGUCCUGAAAACUAUCAUUUUUUUUGCUAAUCUGUGACUAAAAACUACCAAAGUCUGUAAAGUGCCCGAUUUGACUCGUUUAAACUCGAUUAUGACAGGGUUGGUCCACAUGUCAGGACGGAAAAAUCCAGAACCGUUAAGUUUGACCGUCAACCGGAGAAAGAGAUCGAGAUGGCUGUGUUCCGGUGCGAGAAGGGCAGCAGGGAGGUCCGGUGGAGGCGGACCCGGCGCGACGCCUACCAGAUCUGGCCAUGGCGAGGCUGGACGACGACGGGAAGCCUGCCGGUGACGAGGCGCGGGGUGGCGGCAGUUCGAGGCGAGGCCAUGGCGACGGUGGUGGGGAUGGCCAUGGUGACUGCCGAUGGUGCUCCGAUGGCCGCGGCGACAGCGAGCCCGACCGAGAGGAGCGGUUGCGGGCGAGGGGAGGCGAGCGGGGGCGAAGGCGCUGCAGGAGCUCGGGACCCUGGGCGGCUGCGGGUCUACUCGCCGGCGCAGUGAACUGCCUGCCCGACGCCACGGCGGCCUGCUCGCCGGCGUUGCGGCGGCCUGCCUGCCCGUCGUCGCGAACUGCCUGCCCGACGGCGCGGCGGCCUGCUCGGCCGACGGCGCAGCGGCACGGCAGCCUACUCAGCGGUGUCGCGGUGGCCUGCCUGCCCAUCAUAACGGUCAAUCUAACAGGGUUUGACUUCCAUGUGGACCCAAACGGACGGCGACGAAUGAAAUGGAGCGCUCCGUUGGAGUUGCUCUUAUACGCUGGAAUGUAAUCCUUUUGCAUUUUCUUAUUUUCGAGGGUAAAAUUGUAGAAUCCACGGUAGGGUUAAGAACACCAUUGACUGUAAAAGCAUACUGGCUACAGUACAUACAUCAGCAGCAGUUGACACAGCUCUGCCCUUAGGGCAUCUACAAUGCAUAGCCUAAGGGUGAUGUUUCGUAUGCCAUGUAGGAUCGGAUGUGAGGAAAGGUAGGUUUGGAUAAGGAAGCGGGAUCCUAUGCAGAAGGCGGGUGCUUGAAGAGAAAAUGUGUCAUCCGGUGUAAAAAGCUAGAAAAGUUAGAGGGGAAAGUAGAGAUACAUGUGUAUUAGAGUCUUUAUUUUUUAUUCUUUGAUGAGACGCCCUCAUGGUAGCUUGCAUUGGAGAGAAAAAAUUAAUAUAGAUGUCUCAAGCUACUUUUAAUCAUGGGGCAUGGGUAUCCAUAUGUUACCAUUAUACAUGCCCUUAGGGCAUAUGCCCAAUGUGUAGCCUCAACCCGCUGCCCCGCAGGUCCAUCUAGGUUCGGACCUAUGCUGGGACUAAAAGGUAUGACCCUGCAGGUGAAGAUGUAGCUUGCAGACAAGCCGGCCUCUUGAGACGUGAAAAGAUAGAGAAAGGAGAAAAAUGAACGGAAGGAUAAUGCAUGUAAGGAGAGAGGAUGAGAGAGGAAGGAGAAUGACAUGGAUGCAUGCGGGAAGAGAUGUGUUGUAUGAUGGGUCCACACAAGGUGCAGCCACAGUUGGCUCGAAAAUUUUAGAAACGAUGGCCUCGUUAUUUUUUACUUAGAUUUUUUAUAAAUAAAUAGCUGAGGCAGCAUGGAGGAGAUGCCUCCAUAGUUCAUGACAUAUAUAUAGAGUCACGCUAUUUAUCAUCCUGGGUCAGGAAUAUUUCUCACCCCACCCCAUCUCCCACGGUUAAAGGUAAAAAAAAAACUAAAUGAGGUAAAAUUACGAUAUGAUAAAAAAGGAAAGGUAAGAUUACGGCUUAAAAAAAAUCCUCUCCCACAUACCGCAUUUCGCCAUUGACUCCUGGUAAUGGCUAAUGACAUUCUUGCUCGUAUCCUUCGUUACUUUUUAUACUUUGUACUAUGCCAUAUUUUUAUGAAUCAAAAUUAGUUUCCUCCACUUUGACAGAAAUUAGGUAGAAUAUGCAUAGAAUAAAAGGCACAAGAAUAUGAUUUUCUUUUCCUCAAAAGAAAAAAGAAGAAUAAUAUUUUCUUUCUCGAUAAGACUCGUCGGAAGAGAUUCAAACGAUCGCCUCUCAUGUUAAGCGACACACACAAUCCAUGAUAUACUGGACAGCACCCUGCACACUACUAGUACACUACCACACUGCUACGAUAUGAUACUACCUCGCCGAAUGGGCACUGGUUGCAGAUACUACAACACAAAAUAAAAGGCGCCUAAUAUAUAUAUUUUCCCUGAGACGAAAAGAGGAGCUCCUUCUCCAAGCUCCACUGGGCACUGGACAUACAACCACCCACCACGCUGAGCAUGCACCGUACGUACGUACGUGAAGGUCCAUCGACCACCUAGAGAUGAGAAACAACGAGGCAAAGGUCAAGGUCAGCAACUCGAUCACAUUGUGUUCUCAAAUCAGCUAGAACACGGAACAGAACGGGGGCAAACACAACGUUCAUUCGUUACCUCGGAUCGAGACUCCCUCGCGUCUCGUAUCCCCUCCAGGGUCGUGAUAAGGUACUUCAUGGCGAAACCGAGGCUGGAGUUCAAGCGAAAUCUUAGCUAGAAACUUUCUUAAACCAAACGUAAACCACGCGGAGAGAGAGAUACGACAGAGAUAGAGACGUACGGCUCGUCGUCGUCACAGUCGAGGUCGAAGCGGCGGUCGCCGCCCCCGUGCUCGUCAACGUAGUGCGCUGAGAUUGUUGUCUUCUCCCCCGGCGGUGAGCCCGCCGCAGGGUACUGGAUGGUCAUGGUGUCAAAACUAUGAAACAACGCUUGCAUCUUGCAGGGACGCUUUGCGUGUUAAUAUAGACCACCGGCCAGGUUGUUACAAAGAUCUACAAGGUUAGUUGUUGGAUUGCUAUGUAAGUCAUAUCUCCAACAACUAACUUAAACACAAUCAUAUACCGUUUAUAUUUGUACGGAUAUAUGUUACAUCUUUUAACACUCCCCCUCAAUCACAACUAUCUAAAUUGAGAUUGUUCCUGAAUGCUUCUAGCUGCCGAGUGGUGAGUCGCUUAGUGAAGCCAUAUGCAACUUGAUCACCAGUUGGUACAAAUCUGAUGUUCAACAACUUGUCUGCCACUCGUUCACGUACAAAAUGAUAAUCGAUUUCGAUGUGCUUCGUUCUAGCAUGGAAAACAGGAUUAACAGACAUAUAUGUAGCACCAAGAUUAUCACACCAUAGCGAGGCUGCCUUUGGAUGACGUACACCUAUUUCAGUCAACAAAUUCUGAACCCAAAUAAUUUCAGCAGUUGCAUUUGCUAAGGCUUUAUACUCAGCUUUAGUGCUUGACCUGGAAACUGUAGGUUGCUUGCGAGCACUCCAUGAAACUAGGUUGCCUCCAAGAAACACAGCAAAGCCUCCAAUGGAUCUCCUAUCAUCAGGGCACCCAGCCCAAUCUGCAUUUGAGAAUGCACUCACAAGCAUAGAAUCAGUUUUGCUGAUCUUAAGUCCAUGACUCUUUGUUCCCUGAAGAUACCUCAGUAUUCCUUUUACUGCAGUCCAAUGCACACUAGUAGGAGCAUGCAAAAACUGGCAUACUUUAUUAACUGAAUAUGAAAUAUCAGGCCUAGUUAGAGUCAAGUAUUGUAAUGCUCCUACAAUACUUCUAUAUUUUGUCGAAUCCUCUGCUCCUAAUACUUCCCCAUCAUAAAGAGACAAUUUUUCCGAGGUAGACAAGGGUGUGGAAGAGGGUUUGCAAUCCUUCAUCCCUAUACGCUGAAGUAUUUCCUGCACGUACUUUUCUUGUGACAAAAGAAUUCUAGUAUGUACUUGUUUUACCUCAAUGCCAAGAAAGAAGUGCAAAUCUCCAAGGUCCUUGAGUGCAAAUUCCUUGCCGAGAUCCUUCAAAAGAGCCUCAACCGCUUGGGGAGAGUGGAGAAUGUUGUUAAGGUUGAGUGAACCAUGCGGGGUAGACAAAACUAAAUGACCAACAUGGGCAAUGCUCAUACCUUGACCAUUGGCGGUGUGGAUCUGCUCGUUGCCGGUGUAGCGAUCAUGGACAGCCAGCUUCUCAAGUUCGCCAGUGACAUGAUCAGUUGCACCGGUGUCGAGAUACCAAUUGGUAUAUAUCCCAUAGGAGUGGGCGGCGUUAGCAGAUUUUUGUCCACUUCCCCCGGCGCCUCCACCUCCUGCCGGAUUGCGGACGUUGUUGUUGUAGUUGCGUCGAAGCGCUUCCUGCAGCGCCAUGCUCCAUGUCCACUCUCCUUGCAAAUUUGACAGUUCUCAAACUUGCGGUCACCGCGAUCACCACGGUCCCCUCCUUGGCGUGGUGUGUUGUUGCUGUUGUCGGAGAAGCGUGCUCCCGUGUUGUUGUUGUUGUAGCCACCACAGGGAGCCAUUGUUGCCGCUGUUGUUUCCACGGCCACGACCACCUCCCCGAGCAGCUAAGUUGGCGGUGUAGGCGCUGGUUUGGGAGGCGAUCCGGGCUUCGGCUGCAAGGAGCAGGGAGAAAAGCUCAUCGAGACCGAUGGGCUGAUCGGUGACGGUGCGGGUGGUGAUGGCAGAGACAAACCCAUUGUACUCAGGCUCGUGCAUCAGCCCCUGGAGGAUAUGGGAGAUGACAUCAUCGUCGUCCAGGGGCUUCCCGGCUGCUGCCAGUUCAUCGGCAAGGCCCUUCAUCUUGGUGAAGUAGGCCGCGGCGGAGGAGUCACCCUUGCGGGUACUCCCGAUCAAAGAUCUUAGCUGGAUGAUGCGCGCCCGUGACUGCGAGGAGAAGCUCUGGAGGAUCUCCUUCCAUGCUGUCGCAGCCGUCUCACAGCUGCUAACCUGGAGAAGGAUGUCACGGGAGAGGGACGCGAGCAGAAACGUGAGCACCUGCUGGUCCUGCGUUACCCAAACCUCAUGUUCGGGGUUCGGCGUGGCGACGAGCUGCUUUUUCCCGGUGACAUCUUUCUCCAAGAUGAGCUCGGCGGGAGGGGCCUUGAGGGAACCAUCAAGGUAACCCAUCAUGCCGGCUGCCCGGACAUGAGGGAGCACCUGCGCCAUCCAGACAAGGAAGUUUUCCAUGUUGAGUUUCUCAGCGAUGGUGUGGCCGAGAGAAGCGAUGGAGGGGGGAGCCAUGACGACGGCGACGGAGGAGGAAGAUAUUAGAUGUGAUGGAAGAGUUUUAGGCUCUGAUACCAUGUCAAAACUAUGAGACAACGCUUGCAUCUUACAGGAACGCUUUGCGUGUUAAUAUAGGCCAUCGGUCAGGUUGUUACAAAGAUCUACAAGGUUAGUUGUUGGAUUGCUAUACAAGUCAUAUCUCCAACAACUAACUUAAACACAAUCAUAUACCGUUUAUAUUUGUACGGAUAUAUGUUACAUCUUUUAACACAUGAUCACUAUCUUCCCGACUUUGUUCCCUCCGGAGAGAUCAGCAGCCACAAGGCCGGUGAGGAGCAGGAAGGAGAAGAGGGAGAGGAGGGUCAGGUGGUAGGGGUGAGCCAUCUCUCUUCUCUCUUGGCAGCAGGGAAGAACCUACUACUGCUUGCUGCUUGGCCAGCCAAGUAAGCGAGAGAAGCAUGUAUAUAUAUGGACAGGUAUCGUACGAGCAGCUGAGCAGGGUCAGAUGAAAGGCGAAGAUACUCCUCGGUGCAGAGCUGAGCUCUUGUUACUACACGUGACUUUGCAUGUAUGGCCAGCGCCACGCAUUGUGCGCUACUCAACCGUCAAACAAAUCGAACACCAACGGUGUGAGUGUGUGACCAGAAAAAAAGCAACCGUGUUGGAGUUGCUCUUAGAUUUGAAUUCUGCUUCGGUAUAGGUGUGAGAUGUUUGAAGUUUUAGAUUUGUUCAGAGUCAGUGAAAUUCAAACACAAAAUCUUACACUAAAGACACAAACAUAGGCACCUUAUCCAUUUCACUUUCCUCCUCAAUGUAUCUCGAUUGGAUGUUUCCAAAAAUUCUGUCAACCAAUCGACGUACGCAUCGCUCAAACGGUUUUUGACGUGUACAUCCAAACUCGACACAUUUUUUUAGCAAGACAGAAGCAACAUUUAUAACCUACUAUUACAAGAUAUUAUGUGUGCAUCAUAAUUAAAUAAUUUAGACAAUAUCACCUUUGUUUUUACUUACUCUGCAUAAUACCUUUGUCAUAAGAAAACAUUUAUGAACUUCCACAAAAUUUAUAGAAGAAAUUAUUAACACCUGCAAUAGUAGCCAUUCCAUUAUGAGGCGACCGGGGACAACGAUGCGAGAUGGAUAGUUUGGGGCAUGUUGGUGCAAGGCAUAUUUCUUUCUCCAGUCAAGCUCAUUGUAGAAGUUAGAGCCGCCUAGUCCCCAAUGUUUUAGGCUGAUUAUUUGGCAUAUGUUGGCAGUAUUCUCGUGUAUUGUUCCUUCUGAGGGCUUUUAGUCAAUCGUCUAUGGUUGAAUUGGAGUCGCUUGCUCGGAAAGAAACGAUAACAAUGACACUUUGCAAGCAAUCUCAACGGUGUUUUACUUUUCGGUGAUGAGUGAUUUUGUGGAUAGCUAGGUUGGCCAUGAUGCUACGUCUUGCAUAUGUGUUGUAGCGAUUCUACCCGGUUUGCCCUAAAUUACCUGACAUCUUUCUUCUAUUUGUUUUUAACGAAAUCGGGUCCUAAUUAAGGUCACUAGUCGUCAACCCGUGCAAUUGCACGGGCUAGUAUAGAUGCAUUAUGAAAUUAGCCUAUUUGGGGUGACUACCUUUAAAAUGUGGGAUGGCAUUACAUAAUUAAAUUAAUAAUAAGUAACUUCUUCUGAUUGAUAUGAAAUUUCAAUAACUAUUGUAAUGUUUUGCUUAAAAUGCAUUCCACACUGUUUUCUUUCAAAUAUAUUUUGAAUAAUUUUAUUUUUACCAUUGUAACUUGUUCACAGUACAAAGGAAUUAUGUUAGGAAUUAUGUUUUGUUCGCAUGCAUAGAAUAACUUUAUUUAUACUAUCGCAAGGAAUUUAGUCCAUGUCAGCUGUGAUCGAUUGUAUCUUGGUGAUCCAGCUGCAUGUAAACUUUGGAUAGAGCCAUCUAUAAUGUUGCCUUGUAUUAAGGUAAUGAUGAGGGUUAUGCAUUUCAUAAAAUCAGUAAUAGUCAAACAGGGGGAAAAAGUUCCUAAAGUAACUUAGUAACCUCUUUAGGAAGUGUUUAGCAUCCCAAAUGAAAGCAGCUACAAAAGCAUAUGACAUGAUGUUCCUUCCUAUUCAAUUUGUACACAGAAAUAUUAUUAGGUAACUUCUAAAAUAUGGAAGGACAAAUAAUUCAAGGUGGGUACUUGACUUAUAACCUACAUGGCACCAAUAAUAAAGGUUGUAAUGUCAAUUCACGCACUAUUUACCUACCUAACUUAAAACGCAUUACAAAAAUAAAUAAUGGGAAGGUGAAUGACUAACCUGCAAGUGGCUUUUUUACCAACAUCAAGAUACAUUCUUAAAUUUUGUUUGUCUACACAAUAGCAGCAUUGAUUUACGGGAAUGUCCUAAUGAUCAUAGCAAUGUAGAAAUUAAAAUAUCGUUCCAAGUGACCAAGUAUGACCUAUGAAUACUUUGCGUUUGAAUAAAUAUACGCGGAGGGAAAAAAUUCCGAGAAUCCAAAGCAACAAAUCAGAAAUUUGUUGAUGACUUACUGUUCAAUGAAAAAAAAGAGACUUUGGUUGUAAGCAGACCAACAUACCAGAAAAUAUUUGGGAGUAAUUAAGCAUUACCUUUUGCAUGUCACAUCCUUAUAUUGCUUCACCUUGUUCUCUAUUCACUUCAAAGCUUGAACCCCCCGAGCAGACUCAUACUGGCAUGUAUUUCUUUAUCACCCCUGCGUUUUCUAUGUCAAGCAUGAGGCAAAGAGCAGCAUGCAUAUGCUUGGUAUCAUGGGAAACUUUUCAAUUCCAUAUAACAUGCCAUGUCUCCUGGAUAUGUUUUCUGUUGUGGUACUACCAGUCGAGGCAUUGCACACACACUGCAUGUAUCAAACAAAAUUAUAUGUCAAGUAAUAAUGGACUUAACAAAACAUCACUCUCUCAUCCAUGGCCUAAAAUAUUAGUGUAACAGAAUCGCUUCUAAUGCCAAAAAGAUCUAAUCUCUAUGUCAUGAAAAUCUGUAUGUUAUCCACUUUGUGAUGGAUGCCCUCUAUAGUCAUAUAUCAGUUUAUUUUUAUUUUUCAGAAUGAGUUAAAAAUGUAAUGUCAGAUUUGAACUAUAUCUUUUAUGUUGGAUACCAUCUAUAAUGACAGGUAAGUUUGCUCUUAUGUUUAAGAAUGAAUUACACUGCAGAAUAAUUUGAAACAUAAUGAUUUGAAACAAAAUAGAAAACAUUAGACGUGGCAAAAUUGAAACAAAUUUCAACGGGUAAACUUAAUCUUUUCUGUACCAAUAGUAUAACUUUAUUAAGCAUCCAAAUAAUGAAAUGGUCACUAAAUCUAUUAUGCCCUGAAAUUUUAAAACAUUACACUAUUAAUUAUAGGGUUAUGCUUAUACAUAAAACAAAAGCUAGAUGCUUAUUAAACAUGUACCAUGAAGAUGUCAAGUGCUAUACCAUUUUUAAUUUCCACGGAUGAGUAGUGACUAAAAACAAAGAAUAUUAAUAAAAUAGAUGGCGAACAUCUUGGCAACAUGUUGAGUCGGCAUGUUCAAACUGGCAAUGCAGUUCAAUGUUCCAGAGCUUAUCCUUGACAACUAUACGACCCGGUGGCAUGCAACAAAUCGAGGGAAACAUGAACCAAAGCAACGUAGAAAAUCGGUCGAGCACCCUCUUUCUUCGAGAAGCCUUAUAAGAUAUGUAUUCACCUGAAACGAACAACAAAAUAUAAAUAUGAUUACGAUAAACUUAGGAAAUCUUGUAUCUAGUCUCCCUCUGAAAUAUCAAUAAUAAGAAGGUGGGUGAAAUGGCAUACCAACUACUAUUUCUCAAUCACAUAUUGAAAUAACUCAAUCUGCGCCUAAAGGAUGAAUUAAACAUAUGUGGACAUGAGUGCACUAUAUAUGCGUGUAAGUAUCAGCAAUAAAUAUAUUCCACACUUGUAGGAAUCAUAAAGAACAACUCAUGCAUGCAUAAUGCAAAAGGUAGUAAAUAAAAGUAAGAAUUUCGUACCAUAUAUAGCAUGCAGAUUGUCUCACAACAAUCGAAUUGUCCCCGCUAUAAGAUUGUUAGCUAUGUAGAAAUAUAACUAUAUAUUUACCUACAUGCAUUCUGUUAGACAUAAUCACGAUUAGGCAAUUGAGUCCGGCACGAACUCGUAGCUUUAGCCGAGUCGGUCAUGUAUUGGUAGGAUAAUAGUACUAUAUAUACCUGUACGUGGCUCCCCUGUAAACAAUCGAGAUCGAAAAAUCAAAGCAAUAAUAUUCCCAGGAGCGACACACUCCUGUUGCCAUAAACUCGGCGACCCGGCGUAUAAUAUUUCACGUGUGAGAGACGGAUCGUAGUGGUGCUGCUAGCUAGCGUACGCGUCCAGAAUCCAUCCAGCUCCUUGCCUACUUGCCUAUUACCACUGCUACGUAUACAUCCUCUACGGAAAGUACUCGUAUUAGGGGAUCAGUGCUAACACAUUCGCGAGAAGUAUCUUGAGCUGGUGGUACACAGGAGCACACAUAUUACGUCCACACCCAGGUGUGUUUGCGCCUCUAGCUCUGUCCUUUGACGUUGAUUUUUCCCCUCCUUAUUUUCUGUGAAAUUGGAACACAAAUAUCAAAACUAUUACUUAACAUCAACUCGGUAGAUGAUCUAGGAAACCGAUCUGCAUGCGCACUCUAUAGGUUUAAAAUGAAAUAGUAAGUAAAUCAUAUCAACAUAUAUAUUGUUGUUGAAUAGAAUAAAUUAGUGGAAAACCACAUGAGAGGUAAUGCAUCAAUGUAUCUGAAGCCCUUUGAAACAUCUACCAGUUUCAUGCUUGAUUACUAUACUAAAACCUUGACGGCCUGCAGAACAAUAUGACAGCCUUCCGUACUAAGGAUCCCAUGUACAGGUAUACAACACAUGGAUCUUUACUAUUUCAAGUUACGUGAUGGCUGGGAUUAACAUUGAGAUCAGGGGCAUGGUUUCCCUUUGUGUGAGGUCGUAGCUGAGGAAAACAAAUCAACAUAGCUUUGUGUACUUGCACAUGUGGACCGGAGAUCAAUCAGGUGCUAAACACGUGUACCUGUUCAUCUUGGUUGACCAUCAUCUGCAAGAACAUCGCGUGGACGGGCGGUGGCGUGGGAUUCACUCAGUUUGGGUGAGUAGCUUGCACCAGCGGUGACGGCGAGAUUAGCGGGAAGGCGUGGUGAGGGAGAGGAUUUUGCGGCGACGAAGGCGAGAUUAGAGGAAACAUAUUUGUUUUCCUAGGAUUACUGAUAGGGCUUUGUUUUUCAAUGGCCAUUAAUUCGGCAGGUUUUUUGAGGGAGAGAUUGGGCAGGUUUUGUAGCUCGUCAACAAUAGAUACGGUGGACUGUUUUUUUUUUACUUUACAAUGGUUUUCACGUUUAGGUAAUUAGGACUUUUUUUUAUAGUCAUUGACAGGUGUAAUGGUCGUGACCAAUUUGGUAAUGUAUAAUGGUUCACGUAUACAUGUGUAAUAGUAAGUUUCAAAAAGAGUUUAGAUAGAUCUAAACCGUUAUAAAUCGGACCUACCAGAUUAACGUUCCUUAAUUUCUAUGUAUAUUAUUUAAAUCAUUUUUUAUCUAACAGAUCAAGAAUCGAUCUACACCGUAAUAAUUCGGUCCCAUCAGAUUAACGGCUCAUAAAAUCUAAUUAACGUGGGAUUUUUUAGAGAGCCACAAAUUAGUAUAAGUAAGUAUAGAUAAUUAAGAAGAAAAAAAAGAUAUGUAUAGUAAGUGAAAUCUUUUUGUCGUGAUGAUGUUUUUCUUAUCGGCGAUACAGUUCUUUACUUGUAUCCAUCUCUAUUUUUUGUACAGCCUUUUUAUACUUGUGCAGUUACACUCUAUUAGUAUGUUUGUACAACACAAUAUUUCACAGAAGUUGAGAAGAAAUUCAUAAAAAUAAGAACAAGAAGGUAUUUCCUUUCUCGAACACGGAAGAUAUGUUAAGCAACAGAAUCAAAGCUAUAUAGAGAUAACUGAAGGUAGAUUUACUCCAGCACCGUGCACAGUGCACACUACCACCUUACUACAGCCUAAGAAAUGACCGACCCAAUGGACACUCCACAGACUGAACACAGAAGAUAUUUCACCCUAAUGUCUAGUAGUGAGAGGUCGAUAGAGCUCCGGGCAACGAGUGAUUGUUCGUGUUACCGAAGGAGCUCCUUGCACAGACAAUACUACGAUAAUAAAGUAAAUCACGCCUAAUUUUCCGUGACACCAAAUGAAAGAGGACCCCCAUCCACUCGCUGGGCAUGUCGUAGGCCUACAGCUCAAAAACAACGAGGCAACAUGUCAGCAUUUUGCAUUGGGUUAAGAGAGAAAUGAACCGAUGGAUAGAUAUGGAUUGGAGGGGCAAGAUGAACGUUACCUCGGGUGGAGGCGCCUCCUCAUCUCGUAUCUUUUCCAGGCUCGUGAGAAGGUAUUUUACGGCGGAAUCGAGCUGUCUGGAGAUCAACAACAAGAUUAGAUAGAAACGGUCUCAAGCUAUAAAUCACACGGCGGCUCGUCGGAGUCGGGGGAGAGAGAGAGAGAGGCAUACGGCUCAUGGUCUUCGCAGUCGAGAUGAACGUGUCUGUCACCCACCCGUCGUCACCGACGUAGUGCGUUGAGAACGUGAUCUUCUCCUCCGGCGGCGAGUCGGCAGGCGGGAACUGCACGGUCAUGGUCACCUUCUUCCCUCCGGACGGAUCGGCGGCCGUGAGGCCGGUGAGGAGCAGGAAGAAGACGGAGAGGCGGGUCAGGUAGUAGAGCCGAGCCAUGGCACAUACUUUGGGGGUGACGAGUGUUAGGUUGAUCUCUCGUUCAAUGGGCCAUUGAAACCUUGACCCAUGUCCUGAUCGGGGGCGUCCAGCCCGCGCAAGGCUGGUGGACCCGUGUCGCGCAGUGCUAUAAAGAGGAGGUGGGGACCAUGACACAAGACACGAGGUUCGCUGUUCCUCACUCUCAACCCUAACCCGAUCCAGAUGGUAGCACUGAAGCGAUGGGAAGUCCAUCACCGCCACUACUGGAUCUCUCUCUGCUUCCCCACCGUCGUCAUCACCUCACGACGGUCUCUGGAGGGAGCUCAUCGAGUUCACCAUAAGGUAAUAAAUCAGUACAUCAUUCCGAACACAUCUAGCCUAAAAUCCACGGAUCUAUCAAUGGUAUCAGAGCCACAGGCUUUUGAUGUGUUUUAGGGUGAAGAAUGUACAAGUAAAGUUUUCCCCCUCCCCGAUAUGAUCCCUACAAGAGGGCAAAGGACUAGAUGAAAAGCAAAAGAACAAGUAAAAGGCAACCAGAUUCCUAUCCGGCAAAGAAGCGCCGCCGCAAGGCCGCGCCUAUUCCUCUCGAUCCCCACACGCAUCGGCAUGCCGAGGUGUGGGGAAGAAGAACCUACCUCCUCGGAGGCAAAGAUCGGAUCCUUUGAGAUCCAAAAGGCAUACAAAAAAAGGCAAAGAAGAAGGGGAACAUGCCAAGCAAAGAAAAGCCACCCCUCCGGUGGCAAAGUACAUGCACCGCGACCACGCCGUUCGACGGCGGCGCGCUUCCGCUAAGGGAAACGCGCCACCGGCGAAGGGCAGGCAACGGUGCAAAAGGUGCAACGACGCAAAAGGAAAAACCCCAAACGGGGCAAAGGGCAUGACCACCGCGCCUUUGACGGUGGCGCGUUCACCUUGAAGGUGCUCGCGCGCGCCGGCAAAGGAAUGGAAGUGGAGCCACCAUGACAUGCCGCUGCAGGACAGAAAGAAAAAUGGCACCACGGCCGACCCAAUCGACGGCGGCGCGCUCACAGCAAAGGGAACGCGCAACCGGCGAAAGGGAAGGGCCACGGUGCCAUGAAGUGAUGCUCCACCGAUGGAGGCCGCCGCUGCUGCAAAGAAAGGGGAGAAGAAAGGGCCCCGGCCACCCGCAGGCAGCACCUCGCGCGACGAGCCACAGGGAGCCACCGCUCGAGGCCGCCGCUGCAAAGAAAGGGGAGAAGAAAGGGCCCCGGCCACCCGCAGGCAGCACCUCGCGCGACGAGCCACAGGGAGCCACCGCUCGACGGGGCAUGGAACCCCUCGAUCGAGGGGACGAACGGGGCAAGGAGCCGCCGCUCGACGGGGCUGGGAGCCGCCGCUCGACGGGGCAUGGAACUCCUCGGUCGAGGGGACGAACUGAGCAGAGCCGCUCGGGAGAGGAGCGUUGCUGCGAGAGAGAGGAGAGUGGCGGGCUGGGGAGGGAGAAAUGAGCGCUAGGGUUGCCCCUCCCCACCGGUCUACAGUUUUGUUGCUCCGAGGCGCACGGGCGACGACCCCCCAUCGAUCCACUAGGUAACCCUAGGCUGGCUCGGGCCUUUGGGCCGCUGUGAGCGCUGCGCCAGGGAAGGCCGGACCGCUAAGAGGCCAAGGCCAAGGCCAGAGCCAUCAGUUUCGGCCGCUGGGCAAGUAGGCUCCCAGGCCGGCCCAAGCAGGCCCCUGUAGGUCGAAAGUUUUAUUCUGUCAUUUUAUUUUUAGGCAGAUUCAACAAUUGUUUCUAAGCAUUGUUUUUCUAUGAAACUAUGUUUAGAAAAAUAGAAAUUAAAAAUGUCCAAAGUUUCUGUAAUUUAAUACAGAAUUGCAAAAUUAUUUUUCUGAAAAGAAAAAUAAAGGUUUUCUGAAAAUUAAGUAGUUUUUUAGAAAAGGAAAAAUUGGUGUUUUUUUAUAAAUUGAUUUAUAAAGUUCACCAAUUUUGUUUUAAUGAUAGAAUUAAUUUUCUGCAAAGUUAUGGGCACAUGAAUUUUUAUAUUCACGUUUUUUCCGUUGCAAAGUAAAAGUUUAAUCCUCCAAUUAAAUUGGAACCAAUGGGAAAAUUUAAUUGGAAGAACUGUUCUUGGCAAUACUUUUCCCGUGUGGGUGAAAUAAGAUUCAAACAGUUUCCGCUAUGACGAUAGAAUGAUGUUUGUUUUAAAGUUAAAAUAUGGUAUUUUUGUUUUCUAACCAACGUUGAUGAUAACAAUACUGUGAUUGUAUGAGUCAUCUUAUGUUCAAAGCUUAAAUCUCUGAUAAAUUUUGUAUCAAAGUGAUCAAUUCUCAGAGCACAAAUAGAGAAAUGUAUAUUUCUUUUUCUGAUACAAUAUGGUUGAUGAUGAUGAUUAUUUCUUAGUAAAGUUGUUCAAUAGAAAUUAUAUCAUCACAUAGUUUAAGAGUCAUAUGCAUUAUUUCCAUUUCUGCCCAACGGUGAUAUGGAAUUAAUGCAGAAGAAUGAUGUUUUUAUUCCAAUUCUACCACAACGGUGAUUUAGAAUAUACAAAAGGGUUUUAAAAGGUUUAAUGUGCAUAAUUUUAACCAGACCAACGUAGGGUUAUUUUUUAUGCUCAUUAUUGUCUGUUUAUUUGCUAAGCUCUCCGAGACUAAAAGUUUUCUUUUCAUGCUUUCAUUCCCGAAAGCGAAUGAUUGGGUACUAGUGACCCGAAAGAUGGAAAAGAAAGGUCAUAACUUGAGGGAAUAUAUUCUCUCUAAAGAAUGGCCUCAAAAGAAAAGAACUCUUGGAUAUCAAUUCAAGAAAAGAAAAGAGAUAGAUCAUUGAGAGUCUUGGUUGACGAAUGUCUUUUAUGUACUCUCUAUGAAGAAGUCUCCUUUUUCAGUCAACAUGAUUGAAAUGAAACAAGCAACAUGCAUGUUUAAUUUGACCAACGUCGGAUCAAACAUGUGUGUCAAAUAUAAUUUAGAUUUAUUUCUGAAUAUGCAGUCAAAAGAGCCAAUUAUGGCAUUUAUGUCCCUUACAGGGAAUUACCCGCAUGGCGGGAAAAGUCUGGGAAAAAUGCGUGCGUAACUGGAUAAAGUUGACAUUGUAUUAUGUCAACAAUCCGUGUAUGGCGGGAGAAAUUUUGGCAAAGGCCUUAUCCUGUAUGACAGGAGAAAGUUAUGAUGACUCAUAUGCGGUUAAUGUGUCCCACUAUGGGAGAAAAGUAUGGAGUAGCUAUUAAGCUUUCCUAGUAUCGACCGUACACCCUAUGUGUAACGGUCAUUAAGCAAUCACUAAAUCCAGAAAGGAUAAAAGUAACAGACGAACCUAAAGACAAGAAUGAUAUGCAAGUGUGACUUGCAAAAGUGACAAUUAUAAAGAACUCCGUUGAGUUUCUGAAAUGAAAUGAGGAAAAAGUACUCCCAUACUAGUUAACUUAUAACUUCAUUUUACAUGAAGUGAUAAGAUGAAUGAGCUAGAUAAUCAAAGUUUCCUCAUUUCACAAGAGCUAUGAAUGGGUUUCGAAAUGGUGGCAGGAAAGUUCUUGCCACAUUUCGAGGGGGAGAAAGAGACAUGUAGUGUAUUUCAUGACUCCUCUGUACUUUAGAUGAUGUGAUGUACAUUAUGCAUCUAAAGUGAUCCAUUAAUGAAGAAUGUGAUUGUCAAGGGGUGUACGACAAUCAUUAGAAUACCGUCAUUAUGAUACCCCUAAAGAAAAGAAACAGUUGUAUUUCCGGAUCUUUUAUAGUUUCGAAAGUAGACUAAGGAAUACAACAAUGGUGCUUAAAGUGCCAUAAAGAAGAAAGUUUAAAGAUACGCCAUUUCUUUAGUGAAGAUGAAGUAAUCUGGGGGAGCAUGUUGUAUGACCUAUACAACACCUGUUGUUAGCUCUACAAGGGAUCUUCUGAUACAGAUCCCUGUAAAACCUAUUGCCUUUUGGAAACGGGUGACUAUAGAAUUAAUUUGCCUCUUGGCAAUGACAGAGCAACGACAACCCCAUAUGAAAGAAGUGCCAGUACCUGAGAUUUUGAUGGUCUCUAGGAAUGUGAAAAUCAGAUACUUGUGACUACUAUAAAGUCUAUGUUAGUGNNNNNNNNNNNNNNNNNNNNNNNNNNNNNNNNNNNNNNNNNNNNNNNNNNNNNNNNNNNNNNNNNNNNNNNNNNNNNNNNNNNNNNNNNNNNNNNNNNNNNNNNNNNNNNNNNNNNNNNNNNNNNNNNNNNNNNNNNNNNNNNNNNNNNNNNNNNNNNNNNNNNNNNNNNNNNNNNNNNNNNNNNNNNNNNNNNNNNNNNNNNNNNNNNNNNNNNNNNNNNNNNNNNNNNNNNNNNNNNNNNNNNNNNNNNNNNNNNNNNNNNNNNNNNNNNNNNNNNNNNNNNNNNNNNNNNCACUAACAUAGACUUUAUGAAGGGUCUACAAUGCAAAUGUGACUCCAAAGGAAAUAUGUAAAGGUGUAAAACAUGACUUAAACCGAAAGAUUUUGUGCAAAGAAAAUGAGAGGACAAUUGCAUUCAUGCAAAGUUAUAGAAUGGGAAAUUCGUUUCCCAAUUCCUGUGCAUGUGGAUGACGUACUACUUGCUAGUGGUGAUGUCAAUUCUAGUGUAGGAGGAGAGAAGAAGUUCUUGUCCUCAGAGUUCAAAAGAAUAAAAGGGGGUAUUAAGAAUGUCGCAUGGACAUGCUAAGAAAGAUCUCUAAAGUAUGCAUACGAGAAAACCUACGCCUGUUCUUAUAGUCAAGGGUAAUGGAACUCGAAACUAUGGUGUUUCAAAAGCUAAUAAGAAAAGAUCGUAAACGAAUAUGGUACCAUAUGCUUCAGUUGUUGGAAGCUCAAGAUAUUACCCUGACACAGUUCACGUAUAUAUCCGGGUGUUUUUGGCAAUGUCCAGUCCAUAGAUAAAUCAAUGGAAUGGAGUCAAAGAUAUCUGCCUCAUGAUGGAAGAAAUAAGUGCUCUCAAAAGAUUGUGAGUACAAAGGCAGGACUUGUGAAAUGUAUAGAGAAAUCCAUAAUUGUCGCUAACUUUCAUACUCGAAGUUUUGUGUGGAAAAUCUCCAAAUGAGUGAAACGAUUGUCAUCAAUGUGAUGCAAUGAUAUGUUAUAGCUUGAUAUGAGGCUGAGGGACAGGCAAAAUGGUUAAGGCUACUUGUACCCGGAGUUGAUAAUGGUUGACAACAACGAUAUCCAUUUUAAGUUCUUUCGCUCCUAUCACAACGAGUCAAGUGUUGAUGCCAAACACACUGACAAAGAGUUACGUGUUGUGAAGGAGAAAGUCCGGAAUUGUAGAAAAAUGCUUGAAGCAUAAAAGCAAAAAACAAGUGUUUGCAGAUCUGCUUAUCAAAGGCUUACCGCCCAGUGUGUUCGGAGAACACACAGUCGACAUGGGUUUUAUGGUAUAGUCUAAAAUUUCCGGACAAUAAAGGGCCCAAGGUUAAAGAAUCUGUCUCAAAAUAGAGAGGUACAUUGUGGCUGUCUGAUUCCAUCGGCAAUUGAGCUGUGACGAUGAAACAUGCCCUAUGUAUUGAUCUGUUGCGAAACGAGUAAAGUUAAAAGCGUAUGAUGAGAUCAAGGGGGAGAAUGUUAGGUUGAUCUCUCGUUCAAUGGGCCCAACGGCCCAUUGGAACCUUGAUCCAUGCCCUGAUCGGGGGCGUCCAACCCGAGCAAGGCUGGUGGGCCCCUGUCGUGAAGUGCUAUAAAGAGGAGGUGGGGACCAUGGCACAAGACACGAGGUUCGCUGCCUUCACUCGUUCCCCACUCUCAACCCUAAGCCGAUCCAGAGGGUAGCACUGAAGCGAUGGGAAGUCCAUCACCGCCGCUACCGGAUCUCUCUCUGCUUCCCCACCGUCGUCACCACCUCACGACGGUCUCUGGAGGAAGCUCAUCGAGUUCACCAUAAGGUAAUAAAUCACUACAUCAUCCCGAACACAUCUAGCCUAAGAUCCACAGGAUCUAUCAACGAGGGCACAUAACCUACCGCUUGUUGCUAGCUCGUUCAACAGCGUGAAGGAAAUGUGGCCGGCCAAGCAUGCAUAUAUGGAGGAUUGGUAAGAGCAGAACUGUGUGAACUGCUGUGCUGGUGUAGCUACUGUUACCCGUAUGGUUUUACAGUCAUUGGUGUUCUUAAACCUACCGUGGAUUCCACAUUCUAGCAACGAUUUUAACCUGGAAAAUAAGGAUAGACAAGAGGAUUGCAUUUUAAUGUAUAAGUGCAUCUCCGACAACGACCUGCAAACAACCCACAUAUGUCCGAAUCGUAUUGUUCGGACACAUAUUAUGUGAGUAAAGGAAGGGGGUUGCCCGGUUCAAAAAAAAACCCCACAUAUGUCCGAAUCGUGUUGUUCGGACUGCGGAAGCCAUCGUCCCCACCGCGGGUCUUGUCAAGCACAAGUCGGCAUCCCCGCUUUGACAAGUGAAGGACGAGCUGGCAUCCUGGCACGCAACCGCGACCUUCACAUCGACAGUCUCGUGAAGCAGGAGCCCGCGUUCCCCCGCGCCACCACCACGUGACGUCGAGGCCGGCAUCGCUUCAUCCACAUAGCCACUACGUGCGGAUUCAUGGGCCAUCCUCGCCACCUCGAUGCCACCGCCGCCAGAUAAAGGAGGAGGUGCUGCCCGUGAUCGCCAAGGUACGUGUCCAUAUCCUCCACUACCUGGGAGGCAGUGGUUACAGCGGUGCCUCUGGCUCUUGGGCCAUGGUGGCCGAGGCCGAACGCUCGAUGCAGCAGCAAGCGAGGUAUGGUCGGUGCAAUGUCGUUCUUUGCCUCACGUUCGCUAAACGUAUGUGGUGUUGGAUACAUGUCCGACUAGACGAGUACUUUCCGUCUAGACGAUCUCGUUGUGGCAGCCACAAAGAGCAAGCAAACACGUAAGCCGCCGGUGGAUGGAUACUCACGUAACAAAGCUAAGCAGCCAAGCUAGUAGCUGGAUAGUUUGUUGACGUGAAACUAUCUAGACGAGACUAGCACGGAUGCAAGUCGCCGUAGACAAAAUACGUACACGAGAGACAAGUUCCGGCGUGUUGGCUAGAGGCCCGUAUCGAGCCUUUGAUUGUGUUGCUUUGAUCUGAGUUCUCAAUACACAUGGGUUACAUAGGUAUAUAUAUUAGCAAACUAGCCUAAUACUAAACCUAGUCCGUGACUGUUUCCAGUCCGAGCCGGACAUGGAACCAUACAUCCUGGAUUAUGCCAACAAUCACCCCCUAAACAUGAUGUCCUCACUUUACAGCUUGGACGCCUAUCCUUCUCCGCAUAUCCGUGAACUUAUGUCGUCCCAAAGACUUGGUCAGGAUAUCUGCAAGCUGGUCGUGGGUGCAUACAUAGUUGACUUCAAUCUUGCCUUCUUCCAUGCACUGUCGUAUGUAGUGAUACCUUAUAUCGAUGUGCUUGGUCCUGUCAUGAUGCACUGGAUUCUUACACAGGGCAAUCGCAGACUUGUUGUCAACAUUGAGCACCACUCUUUCUGGUUCUUUAUCUGUGAGGUCACCGAGUAGCCUUUCUAGCGACACACCUUGACCCGCUGCGGUUGCAGCUGCUAUAUACUCUGCUUCGCAGGACGAUAAUGCGACCACCUUCUGCUUUUGUGAUAGCCAAGUUACUAUGCUCCUGCCCAAGAAAUAUGCCAGACCCGAGGUACUUUUAUGGUCGUCCACAUCUCCUGCCAGGUCGCUAUCACUGUAGCCAAGUAGCUCCACCAUCUUCUUCUUUUUCUCUCUCAAAUAGACGCAACCGAAGUUUGUUGUCCCUUUGAUGUACCUGAGUAUAUGUUUGACAGCUGCCCAAUGUUCAGCCGUGGGUGCUUCCAUGAAGCGACUCACUAUGCCAACGGAAUAUGCCAAGUCCGGUCGUGUAUUCACAAGAUACCUUAGGCUUCCGACCACACUUCUAUAAUCCGUUGCAUCAACCGCAGGGGCUUCACUCCUUUUGCUAAGUUUAAGCCGAGGCUCCAUUGGAGCAGAAGUUGGUUUGCAAUCCUCCAUGCUACAACUUUCAAGUAUCUUCUUUGCAUAUGCCUCUUGACAUGGUGUGAUCCCAUUCGGCUUUUGUUGUACCUCAAUCCCGAGGUAGUAUGUCAAGAGCCCUAGAUCACUCAUCUUGAAUAGCUCCUUCAUUUGUAGCUUGAAUCUUGCAAUCUCCUCUUCGUCUGCUCCAGUUAUCAAGAGAUCAUCAACAUAGAUGCCCACUAAGAGACGAUCCUUGCCUUUACCUCGCUUGUACAUAGCAUGCUCGAGUGGACUUUUCUCGAAACCAAGAGAAAUAAUUGUACGGUCAAGCUUGAUGUUCCAUGCCCGAGGAGCUUGGUGUAGCCCGUACAAUGCCUUGUGUAGCUUCAACACCUUGUGUUCUUCUCCUUCUUUGAUGUACCCUGGUGGUUGCUUCACGUAUACUUCUUAUUCCAACUCCCCGCUCAAAAAUGCGGAUUUUACAUCCAUGUGAUGUAGCCUCCAAGAUUCUUGAGCCGCGAGAGCUAUAACUAGCCUCACCGAUUUCAUCCUUGUGACUGGAGCGAACACUUCCUCGAAGUCCACACCUUGCUCUUGCACGAAUCCUUUAGCUACGAGCCGAGCUUUAUGCUUGACCAAGUUUCCUUCAGCAUCCUUCUUGACUUUGUACACCCACUUGAGCCCUAUGGAUUUGUGACCAUUGAGAAGAUCAGCGAGCUCCCAUACUUUGUUGUCUCGUAUUGAUCCCAACUCUUCAUCCAUAGCACGACGCCAACACUCCUCAGUAUUUGCUUCUUCAAAUUUUGUCGGUUCCUCGACGCUAAGCAAACAUUGUCAUCCUCUUCUUAUAACUUUGACACGAUUAAUAGUACGGAGUGCCUACUCCGGAUAUAAAUCCACCACUGGUCGAAGACGAACUGGUGUCGGCGGAUGUUCCCUUGUCUCUUGUUCUGUCGAAGACGAGGAAUUUUCAUCUUGUGGAGUUGCCAAACUCCUGUUUUCUGGCGAUCCAGGUUCUCGAGAAUUAGUUGCACGUACAUGUGAACCUUCAAGUCCACGUGCAUGCCUUCCUGUCUCACAACUAGCUUGAGUUGGAGCCAUAUUCUGGCCAUGCCCAGGCUGUGGACUUCCAGGCGCAGCUCCCAGGCUGCUCCCCUGUGCUAUGAAGUCACUUGGUUUAGCGCUUCGAGCAUCACUUGGUGUGCUGCAUGAGCCAUCGCAUACCUCGUCUGCUGCAUCCUGCUGCGUGCCUUGGCGCGCCUCUGUCCCUGCUUUAUCUGGCGCGUUCGGUUGCGCUCCGUUGUUCGGAGAAUCACUCGGCGUCGUCGUAGUCUCUGGUUGAUUGUCGGCAUGCUCGUAUUCGUUGUAAACAACGUGAAAGAUUUCAUCAGAGAUCGGGUAUACCGUAUCGGUAGAGUUCCAAUUCCAUGACCUUUCUUCUUCAAAGACCACGUCACGCGUCACAACCACCUUAUUGGUAGAGGGGUUGCACGCACGGUACGCCUUCGAGCCCGCUUCAUAGCCAACCAAUAUCAUUGGAGUACUCCGAUCCGCCAACUUACUUGUAUGCCCAGUCACCGUCUUCACAUGUGCCACGCAUCCGAAAGUACGAAGAUGAUCAACCGCGGGCUUAUGUCCGUACCAUGCUUCGUACGGCGUCAUCCCAACCACACUCUUGGUUGGAGCCCGGUUCAGCAAAUAAACGGCCGUAUUGACCGCCUCACCCCAAAACUUGCCCGGAAUCCCUUUGCUCUUCAUCAUGCUUCUUUCCAUCGCCACCACGGUUUGAUUCCUCCGUUCCACAACACCGUUUUGCUGUGGUGAAUAUGGCUCCGUAAGAUACCGCUUGAUCCCAUGUGCUUCGCAAAAUUCUGUGAAUUCACGAGACUUGAACUCACCCCCCCCGAUCGGUACGGAGGGCCUUCAGCUUGGCUUCGGAUUCUACCUCGGCCGCCAUCUUUACUUUCUUGAAGGCUUGCAAAGCUUGGUCCUUCGUCUUCAACAACAUAAUCCACAUGUAUCUGCUAAAGUCGUCGACUAUGAGUAAGAAGUAUUUGUUCCGAGCUGGGGUAGCCGGUGUAAUGGGUCCGCACAAGUCUCCAUGGACCAACUCAAGAGCUUUACUUGCUCUAAAGUUUCCCUCUCUCGGGAACGAGGUCCGCCUUUGUUUCCCAACAAGGCAACCGUCGCACACUUGCUCAACAUGAUCAAUGCACGGUAGGCCACGUACCAUCUCCUUUUGUCCAAGUUGCCGAAGAGACUGGAAAUUUAGAUGACCGUAGCGCGCGUGCCACUUCCAUGCCGAGUCCUCCAUGCUUGACAAGAGACAUACUGGAUCCACACGAUCCAAGUUGAGGAUGUAGAAUCUGUUCUGUGACCUCUGCACCUUCAUGAUCAACAUCCUUGGACGGUCAUACCCCCAUAAAUAGUCAUCUUCGAGCACAAUCUUGCAACCACGCUCCUCGAGCUGGCCAAGACUUAUGAUGUUGAUCUUUAGCUUGGGAAUAUAGUACACAUCUGUGAGUACCUUGUGACCGCCAUUCUUCAACUCAAAUAGGACAGUACCUCGCCCUAUGAUGUCAACGGUCCGCCCGUCACCGAACCGAACCAUGCCUCCAAGCGAGAGAUUUAGCUCAGAAAACUGGUCCUUGUCACCGGUCAUGUGGUUGCUUGCUCCCGUGUCGAGGUACCACACGUGCCUCGCCAUGUUCACCCUCUUUUUGUAAUGAAGGUAAACCUUCUCUUCGUCGAGCGUGACAACCUCGUCGGUGCCUUCGGAGCUGGACCAUCCUCGUCCAUAAGCUCGCAUACUUCGACCAUGAGCAUCAUAUCGCUAUCAUCGCCUCCCUUGGCCAUGAGAGCUCUUUCCUUCGGUGGACUCUUGCAAUCAGACUUGAAGUGACCGAGGAUUCCACAAUUGUGACACCUUACUUUUUUUAUGUCAAAUUUUCUCCUUGGUUUUCUAGCCUUUUCUUCCUGUCUAGCGAGGUCCUUUUUCGUCGGGCUUUGCUUCUCCUUUGCUUUACUACCGCUUGUGGAUCCACCUUGCUUUCCUUUCGACAGGGCCAUCCAUUGCGCCAUUGUAAGCAUGAGAUGCUCACUCUCCUUCGAAUCGCCGAAGCUGAGACGAAUUGUCUCAUCGUGGGCCUUGAACCUUCCAACGAGAUCCUCGACCGUGAGAGUGUUCAGGUCAAGACAUUGCUCGAUCGACGUGACGAUUUGGAUGUAGCGUGCCGGCGCGACGCGCAAAAAUCGUCGGAUGAUCGCAACUUCUUCUAGGGUUGAACCAUAGCCGCGUAUGCCGUUGACGAGGGUCUUGAGACGGGCGGCAAACUGAUCAACCGUCUCGCUUUCCUCCAUCUUCAGGCACUCGUAGCUUCUCAUCAGGGACUGAAGGUGUGCUUCCUUGACACGGUCAUGACCCUGGUGCAGGAUCUUGAUGGUCUCCCAUGCCUCCUUCGCCGUUUUCUUUCCGAUGAGGUGUUGCAGCACAUCCUUCGGCAUAGCGGAGUAGAUCGCUGUUAAUGCCUGACGAUCCGUCCGGUACUUUGCAGCGCCCUUCGCAUACUCGGCGCCGCCGGGAUCGACGGCUUCCCAGAACUCCGCUCCCUCCAUCGCGACCUUCAUGUUCAUCGCCCAUAGUGCGUAGUCCUCUCGAUCCAGCCGGGGGAAUUGCGACCCCCAACCAUCGGCAUCGGUGCUUUAGCUCCCGCCACAACGAUCUCCUUGCUCGGGUUUGACAUGAUCCUUCGAUUGCUUUCCGAAGAUCACGCCAAUAAACCAAGCUCUAAAUACCAAUUGUUGGAUACAGGUCCAACUAGGACGAGUACUUUCCGUCUAGACGAUCUCGUAUGCGGCAGCCAGAGAGAGCAAGCACGUAAGCCGCCGGUGGAUGGAUACUCACUUAACAAAGCUAAGCAGCCAAGCUAGUAGCUGGAUGGUUUGUUGACGUGAAGCUAUCUAGACGAGACUAGCACGGAUGCAAGUCGCCGUAGACAAAAUACGUACACGAGAGACAAGUUCUGGUGUGUUGGCUAGAGGCCCGUAUCAAGCUUUUGAUUGUAUUGCUUUGAUCUGAGUUCUCAAUACACAGGGGUUACAUAGGUAUAUAUAUUAUCAAACUAGCCUAAUACUAAACCUAGUCGGUGACUGUUUCCAGUCCGAGCCGGACAUGAACCAUACAUCAUGGAUUAUGCCAACAUGUGGCGCCGGAAUGGUUGUCGUGGCCUUCCGGUGCCGUUCUGCCAUUGAAAGGACCACAACGACGACGACGGCACCGACGAAGACGACGGUACGGCAGGGCAAAGCGGCCACAAAUACAAGGUGGUCGUCUGGUAUAUUUUUUAAACGGUUGAAAUAUCAACCAUUUUAUGAAAAUUAUAUUUGAACUUGAAUGAAAUCCAUCCGGUUUAACCGAAUUUCAUCUAGGUGGUUCAAAUUGUUGGUCCCAUAUAUACAGUUAGCAUUGGAUGUUGUUUUUCGCAUCCAUAUCUGUGAAUUGAUCCAAUAUCUAUGGACGGAUGAGGGAAAAAAAUUGUGGAUUGACGUUAUAGAUGCCCUAAGAGCUGGCUCGGUACAGCCACUCACGCAGUGUGCGCCAUUCAACCGUUUGUGAAUCUGAUCUUCUCGGCCGUAGUGUAGUGCAGGCUUUAUGGUCAUGGAGCCGUUCGCCUCAACUGCUUAUGAUCAAGGAGCCGUAGGGUGAUCAUGCAUGUACCAGCUGCUGCUACUAGCUGUUGCAAGUGCUAGUUCAACGUGGGUAUCAUCAGCAGCUUAUGGUCAUGGAGCCAUUCGCCUCGACUGUCUCGGGACAAGUAUAUAGCAAAAAUGCUACACCUAUGGGCUACCUACACAAUUAGCUUACGUAGCCCUCUCACUAACCAAUCACUCUGCCCCGUGAUUUUAACUGUGGGUCCGUUCUCCUGGUUUCCAGCCAAUCAAAUAAUGCGGCCGACAGUUUCUCCAUGGCCGAGAGGAGCUGCGGGCCGAGCAUGGGGUCGCCUGAGUUGAGAAACGCCGACCAUGGUGACGUGUGUGACGGGAAUGAGACGGAGCAGAGGGACCCGAUUGCUUUUUUUACAAAAUUUAUAGGGACCAUUUUACUUUUUUUCUAUGGACCGACACAUGGGCCCACAUGUUACAAUAGUCAACUAAUGGUCUAAUGUAACAGUGACCUCACAAGUGGAACCCCUCUGUCACAAACACAACUAAAACUUAACACUUCAACAACUAGGUUUUUUGGAACAACAAAACAAUUUUAUGGUAGACUAUUGGAAAAUAAUAAAGCGAUAAUGUUUUAUAAUCAAAGCUUGUAAUGUGCUAGUUUUUUGCUAUAUACGGGCGCUGAGCUAAUAGUUUGACUCUCUCAAAGACGGAUUCUCUCUCUGAAAAAAGUAUGCGUUGGAUCUAUUGUAGAAUGAAUGUAAAGAGACAAAUAAAGAGUCUAAAUGACCCACUAGUUUCAUUGCAAUGUGGGAGACCCACUUAUAUACAAGAUGAAGGGAUGUGUUGAGGAGACACCUUUUCACCAACAGACACCUCCUGGAAAGCAUCCCUUCCAUACAAUUGAUCACAUGUUUUAUUUCUCAACACUCCCCCUUGAUCAAUUCAUCAUCUGUAUAUUGAAAACUCCUCCAAAAACCCUGUGGGAAAAAUUGAGGAGAAACCUUAUAAUAAUAUGCCAUCGAAAACUCCUUUAAAACCCACUGGGAAAAAUAUAAGGAGAAACCAAUAUGGCAUACAACCGCACUUGUAUUUAUAUUGUGUUGUUAAAAACCUUAUAUGAGAAACCAUCUUGAAAAACUCAUAAAGGGAAAAAGAGUACAAUAUGAAUGAUCUGAAGAUCACCAACAGGUUAUAACAUGGGAUUUCACUCCCCCUGAAUUUCGCAAACAUCAAUGUUGUCUCAUACCAAUUCCACGAAUGCGAUUCUGUAAUAUAAAUGUUGGUAGANUUUCAAUAUUUCCAGAUACAUAAAGACUGACAUACAUAUAUUCCCGAGGGAUUUUGCUAAAGCUAUAUACUUAGCAUCAUUUGGUUUGACCCAAAUAUCCGUCUCAAAAUGAUUGUGUGUAUUUAAUAUGUCUUGUAUAGACAUUGAUGGUAAGAUCAUCCACAUCAAUAAUAAGAUGUAAAUCCAAUUCAUGAUAUCUUCAUGAAUACACAUCAACAAUCAUCAGAAUUAGAGUAAUCCUUGUUAAGGAGUAACUCACUUAGUCGGUUGUACCACACGACUCUCCGACCAAAUUCAGAGUCAAAGAAUGACUUCUGAAGCUUCACACACAUGUUGCGAUUUAUCAUUGGAUUCGGAAUAUUAAGCCAUUUAAACGACUUCAAUAUAUAUAUCCGAACUGAAUUAUCCAUGUGAGUAUGUAGCCAUUACAUACAUCAACGGUGUUGGGAUAUGGAUGACGCACAUCCAUCAAGUGUCAUUCAACGCGAGGUUGAAUCACAUUUACUGACCGAGGAGACCGUUUCCUCUAUUUCCACGGAAACAUAUGAGAACUUAAUCCCAUGUGACCAAAAUUCUCCCCCUCUUGCUCUCAUUUGGGGAUACGAAUGGUUAUUAGGUACCUCCACUCGUUCUGGUACGAAAAUUCAGUGACACCUUUGUCAUCAGUAAAUGUAUAUGGCAGUUUAUUUGCAAUAUGUUGCAAAUUCUCAUAAUCUAAAUCUUUAGUUCAAAUUCUGAAGUACGUGGACAAAAUGUCUAUGUCAUUUCUUUUGCAUUUCUUGGCAUUCUAUGUGGUACAUUUCUCCCCCUAAUGCUAGAAAAUGUCCUUAUUACAAAAGCAAUCAGCGUACAAGCUGCAAAUAACUCCCUUGCCAGGUAGAUGCAAAUAACUCCAAACCUCUAAAAACAAAAGCUGAGUCUAAAAACAAAAGACAUGGGUGCAGGCAGGUAGAUGCAUUUAGGAAUAAAUGAGAAGUUAGUGUGUGAGCAAAGUUUGUUAAGGGUCACCACAGGGGAGGAAAAAACAAGCUGUGACGCUUGGCACAACCUCGUGUGAGUGCACUUGCAACAAGCCCAAGCUUCUGGGAUAUCCUUGCAGUCAGGUAUUGUGGGCAGCUGCAGAUCAAAAAAUUAAUGUCGAGCCAUACGUAUCACCAUACUUCAACAUGCACAAUUUGUACAACACUUGGAACGGUGAGUUUUGGGCAUGGGACAUUGAUAUGAACUACAAGCAAUUAUGGCCAGAAGGGACCACAUGGGUUCGAGAUCCCGCAUUGAUGCGAACCAGCAAGGGACGGCGUCAGUCUAGGCGUCAUCGCAAUGACAUGGACCACAACAAGUUGGGAGAACCAAGGCGAUGCCGCGUAUGUAGGUGUGCUGGUCACUCGCGUAGGGAGUGUCCGUAUCGUAACAACAACACUGCGUGAUAUGUAAUCAUGCUAUGUAUUUUAAUUUCAUCGUGAUGUAAUAUUCAGAAUAUUUAAUUUAAUUUCAUCGUGAUGUAAUAUUCAGAAUAUUUAAUUUCAUUUCAUCGUGAUGUAAUAUUCGGAAUAUUUAAUUUAAUUUCAUCGUGAUGUAAUAUUCGGAAUUUUUAAUUUAAUUUCAUCAUGAUGUAAUAUUUUGAAUUUUUAAUUUCAUUUCAUCGUGAUUGCAGGUUAUGGCUGAAAUGCUCCAGCUUUUGAAUGGUUAUCACGACAACCACCACCGUUGUCAGCUUUUCUUAAAUCCAAAUCAUGAAAAUCCUCCUCAGACCUUCCAGCUUCGAACCAUAAAGACGCCCUGGUCAAUACAUAAUCGUUUUCUUGAACACCUUGAGGCUUAUGGACUCCUUCAUUUUGCGCACCUCGCAGCUCGUCGAGGUAGUUUUUACUGCCGACCCAUCCCUUUUGACAUCCCUUGUUGAUAGAUGGAGACCGGAGACCCAUACAUUUCACUUUCGAUGUGGAGAGCUUGAACCUACUCUAAAAGAUGUGUCAAUGAUCACAACUUUACCAAUUAGAGGUGUGCCAGUGGUACAUCCACGAGUUUAUCCUAAUUGGCCAGGAGAUGUCUCUGGCCGUCUGAGGCUCGAAAUGCCCAUAUGAGAUCGAUCUGGUCCGCCUCGAGGUGUCUCACUUAGCUGGCUUCGUACUAACUUCGAAAUUUUAUCUACCUAUGCUGAUCCUGAGACAACGAAGAGACACUUGUUUGCAUAUUUGUUGUGGCUUUUUGGUGUGACGUUUCCUAAUUCUCACGGGGAGGUAGUUUUGCCUGGUCUCAUCUAUUUUGCCGCAAAGAUAGUAGACGAACCUUUACCCCAAAAUCCACCAUAUAGCUUUGGUUCUGCUAUGCUUUCUCACACAUACCGAGGGUUGUGUGAUGCCACUCAAAAAACUUCAUUCACAUCUAAAGCUCCAUUACUUUGUGUCUCCUACGAGUUUCUACAGUUGUGGUCCUCGGAAUACUUACCUGUAGGACGACCGCAGAUAGUAGAACCCGCAACCCCAUACAAGUAUGGUGAGGGCGUUGUAACUAUGUCCAGCCGGUGGAUGCUGGGUCGAAAAAAAUGGUCUACUAAAAUUGCAAAAAAUUGUUACCCCAUAUACCAUGAUCAGUUUGAGCUUCUUAACGACUCACUAAUAACAUGGAACCCGUGGACUGAGGCACACAUUGAUAUGGUAUUUGGUUCACAACGCAUCCCAGUGGAAUGCGUGAUAGUGCCUUCUGGAUGACUCGCUGCAAUUUACUCUAUCUAUGGUUUGUGGAACCGUACAAUCCUAACGGUGUCAUGAGACAGUUCGGUCUAUAUCAAGAUAUUCCACCACCGGUUCCAAGAUGUAUCGACGAAGAAACUCAUAAGUAAGUAAGAUGUGACCUAGCUAAAUAGAUAUUCAAUCACCGGUUCUUGAAUUUUUGUUUUGUUAUCUAAAUUUCAGGAUGAGCAAUAUGGACAGAUCUGGUGUCGACUGGAAUGUAGAAAACAUUUAAUGGAUAAAUCAGUGGAAUAAUGAAGCUCUACAAAAUAUAGUGCCUCAGCAACGGUAAUUUUACUCAUGUUAAUUUAAUUAUGUACUUAUAAAAUACAUAAUGUGAUGUAAUUAUUUAUUUAUGCACAACGUACGAUGCAACUACGACAGAAGCGUACCAUAAUUAGUAUCGCAUGAUCACGCGUACUAGACCGACGAGUGAACCACCUACGAUGCCAACACAUCCAAUGCAUAUGGAACAGUUGCAGAGACGGAUAGACACAUCAUCAGCUUACUAUCGUGACUCUGCGGUAAUCAUCAACAUCUUGCUAUUCAGGUCCAUCAUUUCAUGAACAAUUCAACCAACCAACAACGAUUUUUUUUCAGAUUGAUAUUUGCACCCAAGUAGAAGCGAUGGCGAGGGAAGGAAUGCGAGCCCAGUGAAUUGAUCCUAAAGGCAGGUCCUUCUUUAAAAUAAUUAGCGAAUUCGUCAGCACAAGGUUUACGAGAUGCGGUACAGAGAACGACGUUGUCACUGGAGCGUACAACAUUCCGGAACCGAGGUCAGUUAGACCGAGUGCGGCGCCGUCGUCGUCCAUGCGGUGGGGAGAGGGUCCUAAUACUACGCCGACACUUCCACGACAUGACUCGUCUCUACAAAUACAUGGGCAGAGAUCAGAGGUAAAUGCACCAGAUUUAGGUUCGACGCCCGAACAGACUCAUUUCGUGGAGCAGGAUGCAUAUACAGCAUAUGGCGCACACACUCAAGGAUCUCAGCCAUAUCUGCCCACGCGAGGGAUUAGGAUGCCCGAGGAGAAUCGUUGGGCUGACACAAGCGAGGGAGCACAAAGCUACAACAACGGUCAGGUAUGUACAAUUAUAAUAAGCAAUUACAUAACUUCUAUUUACACAUAAUUUUUUUACACACAAUUUUUCGACGCAGAAAAUUAAUGAUCCAUCAUGGGGAGAUGAACAUACCCAGCAUGGCGUACAGAAAGAAAUACUCACAGAAACCCAUGAUACUCAAUGCACGCUCCCAGGAAUGCUAAAUGAUUUUUUCGGAGAGGACGUUAUUGGUCCAUCUUAUAUCAAUUCUGAGUCACAGCCAUUCACCUAUAAUUUAGAAUCAUCAGACUCCACCACCUAUGCAUGAGUCACAGACACAGGAACACGAGGGACAGUACGGCCGUGGUCUUCGUGAACACAGACCCCCUGAACGCUUGUCACCCUCCGGUCGUCGGGCAAGGCCAGCUGGUCGUCGUCGCAUAGGGUGAUUCGUCUAUCUAUGUGUGCGAACUAUUGUAUCUCUCUAUGUCAGUUUCAAACUUUCAGAUGUACGUACAAGACAUCUAUGUAGUUUGAUGAAAUAAAAGUUCUCGAUAUAUUUCGACGCAGUUUUCCAAUUUAAAGUUGCUUCCAUAAAAUAAGAUACAUAAAAUAACAUACAGAAAAUACGAUACAUUAAGAUGUAGAGUUCAUAAAAAAAAACUACAUAAAGUCAUCGUCAUCCUUCGACGAUGCAGAGCUCUCGCCCUUUGACGAAGCGCUACUCUUGGCCUUCGUCGAUGAUGCGCUCUUGUCAUUCGUCGAUCAUGCGCUCUUGGCCUUGGUACUCGGCAUGAAGAUAUCGUCUUCGUCCUCACUAUCGUCAAUCUAUAAAAAGGGAUGUUUUACUCCACCUCCACCGCGUAUGUGUUGGCCUUUCUUCUUCCAUCUUUCAUUCAACCGCAUAAGUUCUUUCCGAAUCUCCUCAUAUGUCCUUGCAGGCCACCCCUUCCUAGCUAAUGCGUGGGCAACCUCAUUCAGUAGCGUGUCACUACUGAUGAGUUCGUCCCAUGAAACUAUUCUGUUAUCUAUCUUGAAAUUGCUAGCUAAGCGCAGAAGACACUCGGACAUACCACUGUAAAAACUACGAUCGAAAGGAUAAUGAGACAUUUUCGGGACACUCCUUACCCACCUUGGUCUGGAGGGGGUUUUAUAGGUGCAGCAGAGCGAGACGAAUAACUAUACGCGGGAAAACGAGGAGGGAAAGCGAGGCGGGAACAAAAUGGCGGCAAAGCUAUACGCGGGAAAAAAUGGCAGGAAAGUGAGGUGGGAAAUAAAUGGCGGGAUAAAAUGAACAUACACGUAGCCGAAAUUAAGAUACCCAUUGCGGAAAUGAAGACACAACUUGCCGAAAUUAAGAUAGACAUUGCUGAAAAUAAGAUACAAUUUGCCGAAAUUAAGAUACAACUUGCAUAAAUUAAGAUACAACUAACACAAAUUAACAUACAAUAAAAUAAAUCUACUGAGUCCAACGUGGAUAUUUUCCUUUUCCAUCACCAGCUUCUUUUGCUGCCUUGGCGGCACGAGCCCUUUCUCUCUUUCUCUCCUUCUCAGCUUCACGGGCUUGUUCCCGCUGUCUGUAAACCUCCUCCAGCCAAAGUUUCUCUUCUUGAUUUUUCCUUAUCAUCUCAUCAAUAAAAGCCCUCUGCUCCACACAGUAAUCUUCCCACUCUUUCUUCUGCUCUGCUUUCUCCUCUGCUUCAGCCUUCUCGCGACGCUCUUCCAAGUCCAAGCUAGCCCAUGCACGGCGACCUCUUUCACGAAUCUCGGUCACCGCCCAGUCCGGCAUUUCCGUGUCAAUCCAACGAUAGUACAUGCAGAGAGGAGGAGGAGAGUAAAGGAUGGAUCAGAUUCAAGUAAACAAUAAUAUCAAGUAAACAAUAAUCUGGAUGACUUGAGCAUACCGGAGGCCUGACGUACGCAGAAAUAGAUUCGGAUGGAUCAGAUUCAUAAUUGGCGCACAUGAAAAACUUCAUGCCCAACCAAUCUGAAAAAUCCGUCACCUCCUUCACCUUGCAGACAUCUCCGCACCAACAUCGAACUGCUUCCACCCCCCGAGGCAAGCUUGCACUCUGCAUUUUCCUAGGCCUAAUGCUCUGAUCCGAACAAGGCAAACUCAUACUGACUAUGGAGGUGCAGGUGCUUUGAAGUCUGGCUGAUGGUGAAGAGAGUUUUCACUCUCUGCCUCCUUUUAUAGGCUCUGCCGGAUGUCUACGCAGGAAAAAACGGCGCGAAUACGAGAAACUUCAGCACGAAACUUAGGCGGGAAACUUAGGUGGGAAAAUAACGCGGGAAACUUAGGCGGGAAAAAAUUGCACUGCUCGUCCAUCAUUAUCGCGUGCAUGUGGCGGGAACAAAUACAGCAGGCAGUCUCCGUUCCUAAAUUUGUCUUUUUAGAUAUUUUACUAGAUGACUACAUACAAAGCAAAAUGACAGAAUCUACAUUCUAAAAUGAGUCCAUAUACAUCCAUAUGUAGUCUUCUAGUAAAAAAAUACUCCCUCCGUUCCUAAAUAUAAGACCUUUUAGAGAUUGCACUAUGAACUACAUACGGAUGUACAUAGACAUAUUUUAGAUUAUAGGUUCAUUUAUUUUACUUCAUAUGUAGUCUUCUAAUGAAAUCUCUAAAAGGUAUUAUAUUUUGGAACGGAGGGAGUACAUCCCAAGCAGGGCAUAAUAGCGCAUGCAUGUGGCGGGAAAAUUUGGAGCGGAAUUUUUUCACAGAGCGCGCUAACUCCAGGGCCAACCCAGAUUCCCGGCCGGCCGCCUGGGGCCGAGGUGGCAGGGCCCACCUAUCUGUCGCCGUUACGGUACGGCAGGGCGGGAACGGAAUCUGGGGUCGGCCGCCUGACCUCGUGGCGGCAGCCCUGUCGGCCGCCUGCGCCUGUGGCGGCAGGCCCUAGCCGCCUCGGGCGCUGGCGGCAGGUGCCACGUGCCGCCUUGCGCGCCUGUCACCACGCGUGGAGGGGGUCCUUUUCAUUUUUAGCAUCCGCAUGUGGUCUUUUCUGGCUAUUCCGUUCGCGAGGGGGUCCUUUUGGACAAAAAUUCCACAUUCACAUCUAUGUUGCUUCACAUAUUUGCUACUCCCUCAUUUCCGGUUUAUAGGGCCCAAAUAUGAAAUCUCAUCAAAUAAGAUAGACUAUGAGUGGAUGACGAUGACACAUGUUUUGUGGAUAAAAUUGCCCAAUGAAAAUUUUCUCACUUGAUGAACUCCCGAGGCAAUAAGUGCAACACUCAUUCUCUCAUUGUAUUUGCAUGUUGCAUGUAGAUUAAGAUGCAUGCAUGACCAAUAAUUCUCCCAUUUUCAUUAAAUAUGGUGUGAGACUCAAAGGUCUUUAACACAAUUGAACUCAAAGUGAGCUUUAUAUAAUGGAAAUCUGAAAAAAAUUUAGAUGAACCCUCUAAACAGGAAAGGAGGGAAUGCCCAGUUUAUCUCUUUAAUAUUGCCAUGUGUGUUUUUGAUUUUUUUUUAUCAUAUAGCUUCAUAGGAUUAGCCCGCCCUCCCCCAAAAAAACUUUAUAUGGAAAUAGACCAUGCUCAGUUAUGAAUUAAGACAUUGCAGGAAAUAUAUCCCACAUAUGUACGGAUGAUAUAUAAUAUAAUUAGGUCACAUGGAUUACAUAAUAUUAUUUUUGAGGAAUUUUUCAUUUACAUCUUAGAAACUUGCAUAUAAAUUUCUUCCCCCAUUCUAGCUACUACAUAUAACAUAGAAUCCCAUCACUGGUAUACUUCGUGCAUAUUGAGUAGCUAUUUCUACAUUGCCAUCAAAAAGAUAGAUCAUGGUUAUGGCACUUCACACUUCAAUUUUUUUUUGUUUGGGAUGAAAAGUUACGUUUUUUGGGUAAAUGAUCUUAUAUACUUGCUGAAACCGGAACUGUUUUGCAUCAAUAAGAGCUACAUUACUAUGUGCUUGACAGGUAGAACACCUCUGUUUUUUGCGAUACGUAAGGGUGCGGGCAUUGUCAAAUAUCUUCUCGAACAUGGUGCUGAUCCAAACAAAGUCAACAGCGAUGGAAUCUCCCUUUUACAUGAAGCUACUAUGUCAGGUCUACCUCUAAAAACAAAAGCUGAGUUGAGAAACCAAAUUCGUCAUCUGUAUAUUGAAAACUCCUCCAAAAACCCUGUGGGAAAAAUUGAGGAGAAACCUUAUAAUAAUAUGCCAUCGAAAACUCCUUUAAAACGCAGUGGGAAAAAUAUAAGGAGAAACCAAUAUGGCAUACAACCCCACUUGUAUUUAUAUUGUCUCGUUAAAAACCUUAUAUGAGAAACCAUCUUGAAAAGCUCAUAAAGGGAAAAAGAGUACAAUAUGAAUGAUCUGAAGAUCACCAACAGGUUAUAACAUGGGAUUUUACUCCCCCUGAAUUUCGCAAACAUCAAUGUUGUCUCAUACCAAUUCCAAGAAUGCGAUUCUGGAAUAUAAAUGUUGGUAGAGACAUUGUGAACCUCACAAUAAUUUGUUUGCAGAUUAUCCUCUUACAUUUCUGUAAUCCACGAGGAUAAAUAUAACCCAUAAGCAAUACAAGUGAUAUUAUCUUGGUAGAUAAUGAUCUUUGAUUCCAAUGAAUCUCCACAUGAUCUCACAUGUGACCAGUCAUUCUACGAAGACAUGUAUAUCUUGUCAUGCUUCAAACAUAGUUAUGGCAAAAUGAUUAUAGGAAGGACUCAUUUAGUGUCUAUUCUGAAGGCUUCACUCAGAAUACUCUUCCAUUAAAUCCAGUCUUUGAUAUGGCAUUGUUGUGAUGAGAUUAUCAGCUACUAUCAGGAUAUCACACCAUGGUCCCAUCUUGAUUAUCUCAAUGUAAUUAAUCAAGAAUGUUUGUGUCUUGGACAUAUCCGAAGAUAUUUCUUACACCAACCAUUAUAUCUUUUAUUGGGGAUUGCACUCUCAAUAAAUUGCCAAAAAAAUAGUGUCAGACCUGACUUACUUUGCAAUAUACAUGAGUGCUCCGAUGGUACUCAGAUGUGGAACUUCAUGUCCAUUAUCACUUCACCAUCUCCCAUGGACAUGUGUCCCGUGUCAGGUAUAAUAUGACCAUAUGUGUCUUUGAUAAGAUGUAUCCAUAUUGAAUGUUUUCAAUAUUUCCAGAUAUAUAAAGACUGACAUACAUUUAUUCCCGAGGGAUUUUGCUAAAGCUAUAAACUUAGCAUCAUUUGGUUUGACCCAAAUAUCCGUCUCAAAAUGAUUGUGUGUAUUCAAUAUGUCUUGUAUAGACAUUGAUGGUAAGAUCAUCCACAUCAAUAAUAAGAUGUAAAUCCAAUUCAUGAUAUAUUCAUGAAUACACAUCAACAAUCAUCAGAAUUAGAGUAAUCCUUGUUAAGGAGUAACUCACUUAGUCGGUCGUACCACACGACUCUCCGACCAAAUUCAGAGUCAAAGAAUGACUUCUGAAGCUUCAUACACAUGUUGCGAUUUAUCAUUGGAUUCAGAAUAUUAAGCCAUUUAAACGACUUCAAUAUAUAUAUCUGAACUGAAUUAUCCAUGUGAGUAUGUAGCCAUUACAUACAUCAACGGUAUGGAUUUGUAAUGCCAAUUCAGUAUCGAAACAUAAUUCCACUCGUACCUAGAAGGUAUGCUACAUCAUAACUGAUGUCGGGUCUUUGCGGAAACCCAUGUGCUACAAGUCUCGCUUUCUCACCACCUCAUCUAUUUCGUUUCUGAACGAAAAAUCACUUCUCUUCACUACGGAAGAUACUUAUGAGGAGCAGGUUUUACUAUGGUAAACACCUCUCUUUUGACGAGCGAGUGCUACUCUUCUUAAUUACUUCCUUUCAUUUGAACCAAUAUAAGUGUCAACAACAACUUUCCAUGGAUUUUGGUUCAGGGCCCAAAAGGAUUUCUGCAAUUCUCAAGAAGAAAUUUAUGUCGACAUAUGUAGACUUCAAUAUACGAUUCUCAUGAAUCAAUAUCAUUAGUGGAAUUCUCAUUAUGCCUCUUAACUCCUUGUGAUUUCCCACAACAACGGAGUCAAGAUGUUUCGAUGUCCCAACACCAUAAAAAAUGUGUGCACAUCGGUGUUGGGAUAUGGAUGACGCACAUCCAUCAGGUGUCAUUCAACGCGAGGUUGAAUCACAUUUACUGAUCGAGGAGACCGUUUCCUCUAUUUCCGCGGAAACAUAUGAGAACUUAAUCCCAUGUGACCAGAAUUCUCCCCCUCUUGCUCUCAUUUGGGGAUACAAAUGGUUAUUAGGUACCUCCACUCGUUCUGGUACGAAAAUUCAAUGACACCUUUGUCAUCAGUAAAUGUAUAUGGCAGUUUAUUUGCAAUAUGUUGCAAAUUCUCAUAAUCUAAAUCUUUAGUUCAAAUUCUGAAGUACGUGGACAAAAUGUCUAUGACAUUUCUUUUGCAUUUCUUGACAUUCUAUGUGGUACAUUUCUCCCCCUAAUGCCAGAAAAUGUCCUUAUUACAAAAGCAAUCAGCGUACGAGCUGCAAUUAACUCCCUUGCCAGGGUUAAGGAAUUUGACGAAUUAACAAUCAUACCAUAGUUAUUCCUCACAUAGAUCCCAAAUAUAUGUGAAGGCCGUAAUGUACGCUCGGGUGGUGAUAUCGGUGUCCAACCGAAUUAUCGCAGAUGGGAAAUACAUCAAUGAUUUCCACGUACAGACCAUAAGGGGAUACGGUAUUAAAUGCAUUUGAUCUCAUAUAGACCAAAUAUGCGGCGUGUGAGACCCAUGUUACCAACAACAAAAUGUUGGAUCAUCACAAUUCUGUAGCAAUGGCCAUGCAACUUGACUCUCUUUGACAAGAGAUCUAGCCACACCAUUCUGAGUAGGUACACGAUGCACUCAAUAUGACCAUGGAUUUCUCGUGAAUCAAAUUCAACGACAUUUCCAUUCCAAUGGAAUUAUCCCAUGCAUAUAAUCAUUUGCUCCAAAUUCGUCAAUUUGAGCACUUAAUUCAGUAAACACAUGGUUUUGUGUGGAUGAUACACACCUAAGACCAUCUUGUAGAUGUGUCUAUGAAUACCAUGAAGUACCAAAAUAACCCAGCCAAUGGUUGAAUAUUUUGCAUCAUUCUUGAAUCCGUUCAAGAAUAAUGAGUGGCCCAUUCAAAUUUUAAGGUGAGAGUACCUUAAAACUAAUUCCACUAUGGCACAUGCAGUGCACAUAAAAUCUUACGAUUGUCGGGAAUAUUGCAACUUUGUUGUGGCCAAUUGAAUUAUCAAUAAUUUUUCUAAUCGUCCUCAUACCAAACUGAUAAAGGAGGAAAAAUCAUUGUGUACGCAACAAUAUUGAGUAUGAACUGAUUCAUACACUCAAUUUGUCACAACUAUUAUGUCCCGUGGACAAGAUGUUGCAAAUUAUACCACCUGUAGUAGUACAAUUAUAUGCUAAUGAUAUAUUGGGAUAACUAGGAGACUACAUAAGAUCUGCAAAAUAUCUUGGGAAUGUCAUUCACAAGCAUAUCAUCAAUGUAGAAGAGUGUAUUCUCCUUCUACUACACCAGAAUAUUUUCUGGUUGUGCAUUUGAAGUAGAACUUUAAACUUAUCCCAUUAAACUCAUUCGCCUUCUCCAGUGAGUCGGUGACAUGAUUCAACCAAAAACAUAAAAGUUUUGUAAUCAUUAGUACGAUAUUUCAUACAACCACCUCUUUGACAAACUUGGGAGUUGUCAUUGUGAUCAUUUAUUUAGAUGACACAUUCCUUUGUGAGAUAUACACUCCAUUUCUGCCUGUCUCUUUUUUUUCCACUUUACUUUCAACUCCUCGUGGUUCUCUAACCACAUAUUGCUUAGUACUGAAAGCACUAGCACAAAUUUCAGGUAAUGAUAUAGCACCCAUUGGGGUGUACCAGAUGAUUCUUCACAAGAAGGUCAUCAUAUGUUUACCGUGAAAUGAAGAUGGUAUUUAUUUUACCAUCAUAGGAGAAUGUAAAGUGCAGUAAGGACACACAAUCAGAUCAAGAUGUGAGACUUCCUUAUCACAUAUCCUCAACUUAGUGUUGAUUUAUAGACAACAGAAUUAUAAGCAUCAAUGGACUUGAAGUCCUUAAUACAAAUGAAUACUCAUUCGAGUGAUGCUUAUGGGAACAUAUCUCUCCUUAAGGUGGUACCAAAAGGACAAAUGGAUAUUCAUCAUUCAUUAAAUAGUUGGUUUGAGAACCAAGACAUUGCGAUGUCACAUAAAUGCAAAUUUGCACAUUUCAGGCAUUUAUAAGAUAGCCAUGACAUUCUCUGCAAGUGGAAUUUCUAUGGUGACAAGGCCACGGGUCGACAAAAUCAUUAAUGUCAAUGACCCAUUUUCAAUAGUUACUUCCACCUUAUGUCAUCACAUCGCAUUUCCUUUCGAAAAAGGUCCGCCAUAUAUUGCAUGAAAUGCUCAUGCAUUAAUUUACCUUCAGUAAAUUAAGUAUAAUGAAAAUGCUAUGGCUAAGCAUAAUCACUAUCAUGGUGAUUCUUAGUGACUCAUAGGGUAAUUAAGCCCUUCCACAUGAAGAUAAUCACCAUUUUGUGGUGUAGAUCUUCAAAUUAAAUGUAGUCAUCUCAUAAAGGACAAACCUUUAAUUUCCAUAAAACACAUAGAGGUAAUCAACCACCUAGUAGUGCCUCACUCUUAUGGAUAGUUGCAAUCAAUCAUAGCCUUCACAACCUUAUGUUAUUUAAAACACAUGAAGGUAAUUCCCACGAAGUGGCAUAAACGUCUCACUUGUGCACGAAAUUUAAUUCGUUGCUAAGAUCACAUCUCAUAAGUUGUGUACUCAUGGAAGGUAAUCACCAAAAUAUGCAAGUAUUUUGCAUAAUUAUCUUCAUAGCAUAAUAUGUAGCAUAGUCGCCACUAAUGUCUUGGAUUCCUCUUCUGAUGGAGCAUGUGACAUUGUAGUCACAACCAAUGACAAAUGCUAUAAAAUUGAUAAGUAUUUGGAAAACAUCAUGAAGGUAGGCACCAACGGUGUAGGCCUCAUAAUGAUUAUGUCAUAAGUUUUGUGCCUUCACUUUGCUUUGAACACAUGGAGAUAAUCACUACUGAGUAGUGUAGACCUCAUUUUUAUGAAGCUUCUCACAACCUUAUGUUUUAAAACACAUUGAAGGUAAUCACCUCAUGGUGGUGUAGACCUCACAGUUGUGAACGAAAUAUAAUUCGUUGCCACAAACGCAAUCCGUAAGUUGUAUGCAAAAUUGAAGGUAGUCAUUAUGUCGAAAUGAUGUAAUAUAGACCUCAUAAUAACAUUAAAUAAUCUGCAUUUAAGCAGCAUGUCUCAUUUGUCAAUUCCUUGUGACAAAUGUAAAUUUGACAUAGUUAGGCAGUGUCGUAAACUUCACUACCUCAUGUUUCCAAAUUUACAAGAAAAAUCUAUAUUCUAUGUGAAUAAUGGAAUCAACAUAUUGCUUUGCAAUAGUAUUACUCAUGUAAUACAAAUAAAUGCAAAAUUAUUAACAUACUUGUGCAACAUAUAUGAGGACUUGGGGCCUCAAACAGUCAUUUUACACGAUGUAAAAUGAUGCAUAAUCAACUAUUAUGCAAUUCAGCAAGAUCUUGUAGUCUAUCAUGUAUAUUUGCUCUGAAUGCUUGGGGCAUAAAACGCAAAUACCAAUAACCAUAUAGUUAAAAUGCUGAAAACAGUAAGCGUGAGAGCUAAACUGCUAAGUCCAACGAGCAUGGUGACUCGUUUGCAACUUUCAGUAAGACUCAGGGCUAUACCUCACUGUCUUAUAAGCCUAAGGUUUGAAACAAAAAAAUGCAGAGACUUAUAAAGGAUUAAAGAUUAAUCGAAGGGCUAGAUUGUAAAAUAGUCAAGGAGAUAUGAUUCUCCUUUUGCGCCUUGCGAUUGGCAAUUCCAUGAGAGAAAAAUAACCACUGCCCCCGUCAAUAUGGUUCAGCCGCGUCGGAGCGCUUCAUGGCACAACGAACUGGCCUCCACAGGGUCGAGAUAGGAUUGUGUGCACAUCGGGCAUCGUCUCCGCGCCGGGAUUAGGGAUCGCCGACUAAUGCGACACCUAGCGUGAAGACAUCACCGCGUUGGUGUUGCUACACGGUGAGUCGGCUGCCCUGAAGGGCGUCAUCGUCUGCCGCAACACCGCUCCUCGGUCGUAGUCGGAUGGGCUUACCAGAGUGCCAUUGUGGACCGCGUCGAGUGUCGCUGAGGAAGAACUACGUUGUGGUUGUUCAUGCGUCCUCAACGAUGUCAUUGCCGAUUUCAUGUCGCCAAGUGUCGGAGCGACUAGUGGCUGUACAAGAGAAUUGAAUUGGCAUAUUACUAUUAUUUUUAGUUAAAAUGAGAAAGAACGACCGAGGCAUGCAUUGAUCCAUCAAGAUCGAGUCCUCCGAUUGCAUGACUACUGCUUAGCGCCGCUGGCAACAUCGCGUCUCGCGCCAGCAUGCCGGGAUGGGCGCAGCCUCGCGCAUGCCUGCCAUCGCCUAUGCAACGCGGAGAGCCGCGAUUCAUCUUGUGCGUCUCCAUCGUCGUUUAAGAGGGCUAUGCUUUGUGUAACCGCCAUCUCGUGUGUCUCCAAUAUCGUUGAUGUUAAUCUUAGAAAAGAAAAUCAAGUUAGCCUUGUCCUUAUCGAUUUCUUCAACGGAUGCAUGCAUGCCUAUGCAUGCUCCUCUUGACCGUAUGUAACUUGAUGCGCCACCGCGUUCUGUCGCGGUGCCAUUUUCUCACUGCCUCCGGCUCGCCGUCGCACACUCUGUGCGUAACUGUCAUCUCGGCCUUUUUCUUUCUUGUAAAGACUAUGUGCCGAUAACGUAUUUUAGAAUGAAUGUAAAGAGACAAAUAAAGAGUCUAAAUGAUCCACUAGUUUUAUUGCAAUGUGGGAGACCCACUUAUAUACAAGACGAGGAGAUGUGUUGAGGAGACACCUUUUCCCCAACAGACACCUCCUGAAAGGCAUCAUUCCAUACAAUUGAUCACAUGCAUGUUUUAUUUCUCAACAGGAUCAAUGCAUGUGCUUUCUGUUUGCUCAUCGGUAGACCGUACUACACUUGCGCGACGUGAUGUUGACUUGUUUCACAGCAAAAGGCAGUUCAAAGAUAUUUUCUGCCGCUUUGUACCGACCAAAAUGAUGUCUCACAUUUUUUUUCUUUGCCGUAAACCAGUCCUCCCUCUCCUUUCUUUGUCGUGUACACCUUCACUUUGUUACAUAUAUUGAUUUCAUAUAUUUCUUCCAUGAGGUUCCGUUCAUUAUCGUUUCUGACGUGAUUUAACAUCCGCUUAACUAAAAUUUGAAAAUUAUGAUGUUCGAUAUGUUUAACAUAAAAUGCUACUCCCUGUAUGACCUGCACAUUGAACAGAGUAAAUGUGUAAAUAAUUUUGGAAGGUUUUGGAGUGUCUUGUGUAAAUGAUGUUUAAGCAGACAUAGAUGAUCCAAAACCCCAUAUGCCUUGUACAGAGUGAUCAUGCACGAGUCACCAUGCUACUUCAUCUUUGGUGUGAUCGAUCAACUCAUGCAUGCAUGGAGCGUCUGCCUCAACUGCCUCGACAGAAAUACUACGAGACGGGGUUGCUGGUGGCCGGAUUCUCAUUUCUCGCUUGUCAGUCGAAGUGUGUUUUGAAUGCAUGUGGUUUCUGUUUACUCGUCGGUACAAAGGUUUAUUCAUAUACUAUAUCACUAAGAUUUCUAGUAUUAGAGACUUCUCAUUUAAUUAAAGUCAUCGAUUUAGGGGGUGUUUCUUUAGAGGGACUUUUUUCCAUGUGAAAGAAACAGGAGGGACUUUUAGAAACUAAAACGGGGUAUUCAGGACUAAAGGAAGAAGUCUCUAUGGGAGGGUCUUUUACUCUUUUUGAGACUUUUUUGAGACUUUUUCCAACAGUGCCCCUACUUUUAGCAUGCCAUUUAAUGACUUCUAGUACAUUACUAGGGGUAACAUGAUCUUUUUGCAUGUCAUUUAAUGACCUCUAGUCCCUGUUUAGUCCCUGGAAAAAACGGAUAGGGACUAGAGACUUUUCAGUUGAGACUAAAAAAAAAGUUCAGGGACUUUUCAAAGAAACAGGGCCUUAGAAUUGGAUCAUCAACUUUAACAGGAUUAGCAAUCUUUCGCUCAAUAAUUUUAAUUAACUACGCUCUCUUAUUUCAUUGAGAAAUUAAAUAUUAUAUUUUUUCAUGACUUUAAUUGGGUUAAGAAUUUUUUUAAUCAGCUCGAAGCAACCGGCCUAUAAACAAAUAUCAAUUCUAGACACCCUCUCAUCACCUAAAAAAUAGUGUCAACAUGCGAUACUAUAGCACCAAUAUAGUACAUGCAACAAUACAGACACAUAAUUAUUUUCAACAUGCGGUACAAACACAUAAUUAUUUUCAACAUAAAUAUGAAUUAAUUAACAGAUCUUCAAAUCACACCGCGAAAGCCCACCAGAACACCGCAUUAUAUGAAUAUAAAAAGAAAAGAAACAAUAUCAUCUUCCCCACUAGAUAAACCUAAUACUCACUCCGUUCUAGAAUAUAAGAUGUAUUAGUUUAUUGAAAAGUCAACUUUUCUAACUUUGACCAAGUUCAAAAAUAUGGACAUCCAUAAUACUAAACAAUAAAAUAUAAAAAUUCAUUUCAUGAUGAAUCAAAGAAUUCGAUUUGAUAUUAUGGAUAUUGAUAUAUUUCUAUAAAAAUGUGGUCAAAUUUAAAGAGGUUUGACUUUUUUAAAAACUAAUAUAACUUAUAUUUUAAAAUAGAUUAAGUAUAAAAAUUAUGAAUUCGAUUUUAGAUGGGGGAGGAGCAAAGCCCUAAGUCCGUGAUGGGGGGGUGCAACGAGGACCCUAGCAAGGCCAAGCCAGAAGGUGGGGGAGCCUUUUUUUCUUUGACCCUCGAAUGGAUUAGACGGAGCCUGAGCCAAAAAUGGAGACGCCGCCGUAAUGCUUAGAUAGGAGCUUGCUUGAGGCGAGGUAGGGUGGAGGCAUGAUGCCAUUAUUUCUUGCGGGUGUGUUGUAAGUUGUAACUGUUUUUACCAACUAUUUCACAAAUUUACCAAACUUCUCUCUUCUAUUUUGUUUAAUGAAUCGACUGUCCGAUUUAAGAAAGAAGAUAUGUAAAUAAUAAGCCGACUAUGCAUGUCAUCGUAGCUUAUUAGCUAGCGUAUAUGGCGUUAUUAGCUAGUGUGUCCCUCUGUUUUUAAUGUUAAUCGUUUUGUUGCUUGUAUCCCUCUCUGUUAUUUUUUUACUCUUUCCUUUACGUCCUUCCUUUUUCUUAUAUUUAUUCUUGUGCAGUGAUACUCUAUUUAAUCUGUUAAUAAAGCACAAUAAAGAUCCUCCACUUGAUGGAAAUUGAGCUGAAAUAAAUUGAAACACAAUGAAUUUUUUUCUUUCUCGGACAGAAUCCAAGAUACACAGAGAUGCACAGAGAAAUUGAAGAGAGACUCUAGCACCCCCUGCACAAUACCACAUCACUACAGCCUAAAUAAUAGGCCACCGGAUACGCUUCUUGCAUUCGGUACUACAACAACAAAAUAAAAGGCGGCUAAUGUAUUCUCCCUGACACGAAAGAAAAGAGGAGCUCCAUCUCCAAUUAGUUUCCACUGGCUGGGCAUGCAAUCACAACUGAGCACUGAGCACUCACGUUCUACUCAACUGAGAAACAAUUAAGAAAAGGUCAGCAGUUUACAUUUCGUUCUUUAAACUGAAAUCUGAAUUCCGUUUCAGAAAAAAAAAACUGAAAUCUGAACGAAUACAUGACAGGGAGGGGCGAAAAGUGCGUUACCUCGGAUAGAGAGGCUUGCGGAUCUCCUACCUUCUCCAGGGCCGAGACAAGGUUUUUCGUGGCGAAAAUGAUGCUGAAGAAGUGAAGAUCGAUCGCAAGCUUAGCCAUAAAUUCACUCAAUCAAGCAGAACCACACAGCUCGGUCGAGUGUGUGCUUUAUAACGAUGAGUUGGAGAGAGAGAGAGAGAGUGGCAUACGGCUCGUAGUCGUCGCCGUCGAGAUUGAAGUGGCUCUCGCCGACCCCGCCCUCGCCAACGAGGUGGGUUGAGAUGGUGACCUUCUCCCCCGAACCGGCUACCGGGUACCGCACCGUCAUGAUCACCUUCUUGCCAACCUUCUUGCCUCCGGACAGGUCAGCGGCCACGAGGCCGGUGAGGAGCAGGAAGAGGAAGACGGAGAGGAGGGUCAGGUGGUAGAGCCGAGCCAUGGCAGACUUGGGCUGAGGAGUGCAAAGAAGAGGGUUAACUGCGUGAACUAACUGUGGCCGGCCAAGCAAACGAGAGAAGCAUAUAUAGGACCGGAUAGGUAAGUGCAUAGCCGCGUGAGCUGCCUGAACUUUUCUUUUUCUUUUUGAGUUCCCACUCAACUGCUAGUAUGGGUUUCAGGGAGGGACGUUGGUGUUCUACCG